rnacentral:lncRNA from 1 species
GACAUAACUGCAAAUAGAUAAGUAGCUCAAGAAGCUCCCAUUACUGUCAAGCUACAUGAUCUGUUAGUGGAACAUCAUCUAGAGACAAAGUAUUCAUGAAGAGAGCCAGAUAGUAAAUGAAUAAAGGGGUGAAAGACUUCGAUUACUAGCUCAUAGCUAUAGGCAGAGCUAAUAAAUUACAGGACCCUUGUCCUUUUAGAAAGAUGGAGAUUUUAACUUUUAAAGAGUUGCAAAUGGAAGGAACUGCAGGGUUAGAAAGGACAUAAGAGUCUAUCUUAUUUUCAGUGAUAAUUGUUAUUGCUUACAAUAAAAUUUUGCACAAAAAUGGAAAAAUGCUCCUCUUUUAAACAUUUUAACCACCUGCAUGAUGUUUCAAUAUGCUCUCUCUCUCUCCCCCUGCACCUCCCCCCCUCCCCCCGGGCGACCGCGCACAGAGGUAAAGCUUGAUAAGGCUUCCAGGAAAAAAAAAAGCAUUUAAGAUACCAAACUGGCAUUCAACUUGAACACAAACAUCUGUUGGAGAGCAAUUCAUCUCAAUACUCAUAUCUGGUGCAGGAAGGAUACUCUAUGCAAUUGCAUUGAAAUCAAGACAUGCUAAAUUCAACACACGAAACCAAAAUGUUACUUUAUUUUGUCAUUGCUCACCAAUUAAGGGACCAAAUUUCACUACUGAAAAAUGUAAUUUUUUGAUAAUCUCACCCAGGAUGCCUGUAUAGUAGGACAGAGGCACAUCUGUGUGCUGAAUCUUAGCGAGACUUUCUGUUGAAGUGAUAAUGCUAUGAUCUUCCCAUGUAGUCCUUCCCCAAACCAGAUCACCUUUGUUGAAGUUUGAAUGAGUAGAAUCCAAAACUUCAGCCACUCCAUAUCCACCUAUAGGCUACAAUGAAAGCAAUGACAUCAAGUUAUUAGCUUGACUUACUGACAAAAGGUCAAAUCUUUCGAAUAAAAAUUUCAGGGAAUUCAGAAUUUGUUCUACUUAAAGAUAUAGAUACUCCAAAACUUUCAGUACUCAACCAUAAUCCAUAACUAAUUACCAUAAAAUAAUAUCAACUAACUAAUUAACUAUAGACGCCCAUCACCGCAUAUUCUUUGAGCACAUUCUACAUAGUUCAAUUCCACAUGAUGCUCCCAAACAAACAGCACAAUUAAGUAAAACAUAUUAAAAAAAAAAAAAAGGAAAAGAAAGAGAAACAAUAAGAUAAUCAUCCAAAAGGACCCCUAGCAACAACAAAUCAAAAUGAAAAAGAAACUUGGCAGAAUUGACAUUUAAUAUUAAAUUAUUAUUCAAAUCCGUAUACUUCUACUUACGGAGCCAGGAGUAAAGGACUCAAUGUAGCUGCCUUCCAUCUUCCUCAUGCGGUUUCUCAUGUAAGGGUCACAAGACAAGUAGAGAUUCUUCACCAAAAUUGCCCCCGAACAACCUUCCGGGAGCUUCAGCUGGGUUUUGGUGGUUCUGAUUUCCAUAUCACUCUCUUUUGGAAAACCACUGACAUAGUGCUUCAGUAUCACCUGCUUGUUCUCCGCUACUUCUUCUUCCGCCAUUUCUGAAAUGCUCUCCAAGAUUAAACUGGUGGCGGUAAUGUUGGUGCCGGCCCCGGUGGACUGGUGGCAUUUAAGGAGGAUGUAUUUAUAUAGUGCGUGUAGUGAGGGUGUUUGACAGGACAAUUGUUAGUUUUAACUGUUAAUGAAGCAAUAAAUGCAUGGCCAACAACUUAUGAUUUCUUAUUCAUCAUUUGUAAAACGUGGUAAUAUUAUGCAUGGACUCACGUGAAAAAUAUGCGAGAGCAACAGUAUCACAUUGUUGCUGUGAAUUCAUACAUAUAGUUAAUAAUGAUUUAUAAAUUGUUUAUAUAUUGUUACAUCGUUGACGAACGAUUGUUUGUGUUAUCUGAAAAAAGAUACGAAUGAAAUUAUGCUGAUAAAUGAAAAACCAUUUUGUUUGUUUUAGUUGUUUGGAAAAUAGGAUAAAUUUUUUUUUUGGUACUAGAAAAAGGAUAAAAUUAAUGUGGGUUUUUUUUGGGAGGGGGGGGGGACUUUGUAGAUUUUUUCAUUGUUUAAAUAGAAGGUUAUUUGGAGAAGUGCUAUAGUAUUAUUCAUAUAUAACACUAUAAAAAGUGCGAUAGUAUUAUUCAAAAAAAAGUUCCUAAAUAAACUUCUAUUCACUUUUUUUUUUAAGAAUUUUAAAAAUUUUUAAUCAAUACACAUGAUAGUUAAACAAAGACGUGAUAGAGAUAAAAUUCAGGACAGAUGAUUUGAGGCGUAGAUAGAUAAAAGGUGUUUCAUGCCUGUUGUUAAAGCUAAAAAUUGAGCGAGUUUUGAAGUGGCAUAAGCUCCCGUUGGUACAGUUAAUAAGUUCCUUGGUCAAGUCGAGCUUCCUCGAAUAUGCAUUAACUUUGAUGGAUAUACAUACCUAGGAGCAAGUAUCCAUAAAAUACCUCCUAUCGAUUCAAAUAAAAAACGGGACUUUUUGUCUCCAAACAAGUCUUUGAUGCUUAAAUCAAUACCUAGGGUGAAUUCCUUGCAUUGGCAUUGGCAUUUGAUACACCUGCCCAUAUAUUGAUGGUAUCAUCAUUUGCCUCGUACUCUCAGGUUUUAGCUGCAACACUUGAGAAUGGUGGAGUGCUCAAGGUAGAUUUGCACUUGUUCUUUUUUUUUUUUUUUAAACAAAAGAGAGAGGUUCAUCCUCUUAAACGGUUACCAAACGUGGGGUAGCAACCCCUAAGAUGUCCGCUCCAAGAGUUUCCUUAAGUUCAGUUGGAGGUUCCCUAAAGACCUGCAUGCAAUCCUGGUUCUCUGCAGAUGCUGCCCUUAGCAAAUCAGUCAGCGCUUUGAUCCAUUUUAUCAAUGCAUUUGAAACUGAAACUAGAGUUCUAUCUACUACAAGUUGUUUACUAAUUUCUCUCACUAGAGAGAAGUUGAUGAACCAACUGCUCCUUAGUCUGGACUCUUCAGGGCCAUGUACAGAGGUCAUUGUUUCUCCAUGUCAACUCUGUGGAUAUAAAGCAAAAUGCUGUUGAUUUACACAGAAAAGCACCAACUGAUCUUCCCUGUACUCAAAGGAAUGCAAAAAGAUCAUACAAGAUGCUCUGAUAUUGGGCUUCGGAAAAGAGGAAGAUUCUAUUUACGUAUUUGACAAGAUGAUAUAUCGAUAGGAUAAAGCCAAGCACCAAAGCUGAAAGCACUUACAUGAGUUCCACUCGAUAUACAUUAUUGAUUAUUCACAGCAACCACGAUUUGCUUCCCAAAGAUUGCAUGAGCAUACUAGACAAAACCAAAGCACUAAAUUUGAAAAGGGCAAUUCCAGAUGAUAUACAUUAUCCAGGGGUAACUGCUACCAGCUGCUUCCCAAUGUUGCGCCCUGAGAAUAGCCGUAUCAGAGCACUUGGGCCAUUCUCAAGGCCUUCAGCUAUAUCUUCCACAUAAGUAAUCUUCCCUUCUUUAAUCUGUGGGAUAAUCAUUUCCAGGAACUUAGGAUAGAGAUGGUAGUAAUCAAACACUAGAAAUCCUUCCAUUCGAAUUCGCUUGGUGAGUAGGCAAAGCAGAUUGUGAAUUCCUUCGGGAUGCUCAAGGUUAUAUUGCGAAAUCAUGCCACAGGCAGCAAUGCGGCUGUGGACGGUCAUGUUUAGAAGCACAGCAUCAAGCAUCUUUCCACCUACAUUGUCGAAGUAAAUAUCAAUACCAUCUGGAAAAUACCUGCAAAAUCAAGAUUCGAGUCAGAAGCCUGUGUCCUUCUAGCUGUAGAAAAUACCAAUAAAAUUGCAGAUCACCUUGAUGUCAUGCACAGAAAGUAGUUUGAAUGACACAAAGAAACAAGAAAUUAUAAAUGCCAACUUUGAGAUGAAAUCAAUCUGAGAAUCUGAAAAAUCCAUUUUGAGCUAAAUAUACUUCUCAGUGGCACAUCAACAUGCUUUAUCUAGGUAAAACGCCCUCUUCAUAAAGAACUAUGCUGUUCCAGAAAAAAGCAGAAUUUAAGGGCUUUUUUUUCCUUAAUUCUUCAUUAAUCCCACUAUUAUCGAAAGCUGACCUUUCCAGAGCCGCAUUUAAAUGUGCCUCUUCUUUAUAGUUGAAAGCUUCGUCAAACCCCAACUUGUUCUUCAAUAAAUCAACCUUAACAACAAAAAACAAAUGUCAAUAGCAGCAAAAACAAGCAAAUUGAGUUAAUUGAUCUUUUAGGCUUUUAGAUCCACAUACCAGAAUCACCAGAACACUUUUCUGAGAGACAGUAAUUAUACCAAAUAUCUGAAGCAGGUCACUAGAUACACGGGGCAGUAAAAAAUUUGAAUCUGAAACAUAUUGUGAACUGCAAAGCUAAGGAAUGUCCUAAACAUAGUUCACAUUCCAAUUCGGUUUCUAGAAGCAUCUUCAGGAUAACAAGUAGUUCCACGACAUAUAUAGAUUUAUAUAGCUUCCACUUCAACAGGCCUCGCGUGAUGUUUGAGGAUUCUUAGCCAAGGAAAAACGCAAUUUGUCCAAAUAGAUACUCAAAAACUCAUCACUUGGUUAUGGGAUUCCAACUUUUGCUCACAUCAAUCACACUAGAUAUUGAACAUGAAAGAAUUUGAAUGUUUGGAUGGACAGACAUUUUAGCAGAACUACUACAAGCUUGACCAUCAUCUAAAUGCAGAGUUAUGACAUGCAGGGUAUUAUGAGCUCAAACAGAAACCUAUGGAGUGGACUUCUCAAUGCACUGACCUUCUCUUUGCUUCCAGCACUUCCAACAACAUAGCAGCCAAAUAGCUUUGCAAAUUGCCCAACAAGUUGGCCAACUGCUCCACAAGCUGCUGAAAUAAAAACACGUUCUCCCUUCUUAGGAGAGCACACCUCAAAAAAACCAGCAUAAGCAGUCAUGCCAGGCAUACCUGUUAGCAACUCAAAGCCAAUUAGAAAACCUAUGGAGAUAAUAAGUGCACCCAAGCAGGGGGGGCCGGUUGAAACUAUCACUUUGCAAGUAAUUAAAGGGCAAGAUUUUGCACAAUAAAUCACAUAAAUGUUUCUUCCAGAACGAUAAAAAUUUCUUCAAUAUAGCAGAUUGAGACAUUACAGAUAACAUAGUUCAAGAAGCUGCAAUUACUGUAUACCUGAAUGAUCAGUUAGUGGAACAUCAUUUAGGGAAAAAUUAUUCGUGAUGAGAGCAAGAGACUAAAUGAAAAAAUGACUAGAAGAUUUGGAUUACUAGCUCAUGGUGUUUAUGCCUGAGCAUCUGUGGUAGGCAGAACUAACAAAUUACAGGACCCCUUUCUUUUUAAAGACCAUAAGAUUUCACUAUCACGAGUUGAAAAUGGAAGGGACUGCGGAGGAUAGAAAGGGAAUGAGAGUCUAUCUGACUUUUAAUGUUCAUCAUUAUUCUUCACGAUAAACUAUUGCAGGAAAAAGGAAGAAUGCUCCUCUUUUAAACAUGUUAACCUGCUGCAUAAUAUUUCAAUUAUUCUCUCUCUAGCUCCCUACCUCCCUCCCUCUGUCCCUCCCUCUCUAUCUGUCUCUGUCUCUCCGCCUCCCCCUCUUCCCUCCUUUACGACAGGUAAAACUUGUUAUGGUUUACAGGAAAUCAUUAUGUAAAAGGGAUAAUAUCAGAAACCUCCCCUGAGGUUUGUCUUAAUAUCACUUGGCACUCCUAAGGUUUUAAAAAUAUCACUUACCUCUCUUACUUUUGUUACUUGUUUAACAAAAUUUUUAAAAAUCCUAAACAACCCUUUCACUUGCUAAAUAAAAAUGUUUCUAGACCACUUUGUUUCACUUGAUGAAAACCAUCACCUCAAAAACAAUCUUUUGUAGUACUACUACAUCAUAAUGCUAUACCCCAUAAAGAUACAAAUUUGAAAAAUAAAAAAAAAAUUUGAAAAGAAAUACACUUGUAUCAAUUUUAACUCUAUAUGUUCAAAAUUGAUUUCUUAUGAAUUUAUAUUUUUUUCCAACAUCUUCUCAACCCUUGCUCAAACUAUUAAACUGUACCAAUCAUUAUAAAAAUCAACUCAAAUAAGCAAAUAAAUCAUACCCCACUUUAUCAUAAUUACAAAAAGUAAAAGAUAAACAAAAUUCAAUUUAUUAUAAUUUACAAAUAAAAUAUUGCAUAGUCAUCCAAAAAAUGAGUACGAGAGAAUGAUGGAGAAAAGGGAAAAAAAGAAGAAAGUGACUUUCAUUUCAUUUUUUUUUUUAAAAUUUUUGAGCUCCAUUUAUUUGAUAUGUUGUGAAUUAUGUGUCAAAUGAGGGUUAAUAUAGUCUUUUUACAAUUACUAGGGGAAGGUAAGUGAUAUUUCUAAAAGCUCAAGAGUGCCAAGUGAUAUGAAGAGAAACCUCAAGGGAGAUUUCUGAUAUUAUCCCUUAUUAAAAAUACCAAAUUACACUUGAACACAAACUUCCACUGGAGAGCUACUAUUUAGGUCGAUGCUUGGAUAUCUGGUACAGGAAGUGGAUUCUCUGAAAUUGCAUCAUAAUUAAGACAACACAGGGAAGCAAAAUAUUAGUUUACUUCAUCAUUAUUAACCAAUCAAAGAAACACACUCUCAAUAUUGAAAAAAUGAAAUGUUGGUGAGAAACUUACCCAGGAUGCCUGUAUAGUAGGACAAAGGCACAUCUGUGUGCUGAAUCUUAAAGAGACCCUCUGUGGAAGUGAUAAUGCUGUAUUCUUCCCAUGUAGUGAUUCCCCAAACCAGAUCACCUUUCUUGAAAUUUGGAUGACUAGAAUCCAGAACUUCAGCAACUCCAUAUCCCACUAUAGGCUACAACGAAAGCAAUGACAAGAAGUUAUGAUCUUGACUUACCUUUGUCCUCUCUCAAUUGAAUCAUUAACCACUGUUGACAGUACCUAUCAUGCUGAUAAUAUAUUCUGGCAAUCGGUUAAAAAAUGUAACUUGGAGCACCCAUGUUAGACAACUUACAAUUGCCGAUCUUAACACAGGUAUCCAGUUGAUAUGGACCACUAAAAAUGCCAAAAAUUAAUAAUAUAUGCACAAGCAUUAUGUGCUUGCAAGAUCACAAAAUGGAAAGCCAUUGAUGGAAAGAGCCCCUGAAAGAAUCUCAAUCACUAAACUGCAACCUGGAUUACCAACCACAACCUGCCAUUAGAGUCACCUGUAACCUAGAUGUGAUUAUGCACUACCAAUCCGAAGUUAUGAUGUUAUAUCAUAUCUGAUAACUUAAGAAGCUCUAAAAAACACGUGCUAUCCUUUUCUGAAACAUUUAGAUGAUAUGAAGCUAAUUAUAAGCAAGUUUUUUCUCCAAACUGUAAAUUGAAUCUUUAUUUUGCCGCAUCAUUUCACACAUGAUGACCUUAGAGACUCAAUCCAUUUUUUUGAUAGUUCUUAAGACAAAAGCAUAUGCAAACCAGUGCCUCUUGAUUUCACGUUGCUGUAAUUGUUCAUUCCUUAAAUUCAACAUUGGCCAAGUUCAAUGAAUAACAACAGGCUCUCAAUAAUGGUCUUUGGAAAUGAAACAGACUUACAGAGCCUCAAAUAAAGGACUCAACAUAGCUUCCCUCGAGUUUCAGCAUACAAUUUCUCAUGUGAGGAUCACAGGACAAAUACAGAUUCUUCACUAGCAAAAAUUAUCAGAACCUUCUGGGAGCUUCAGCCUUAUGGAACAAGGUGCGAAAAUCAUAUCGGCUGUUGGUGCAAUAUUUACAACUUAUGGGCAGAUAGAACUUUUCGGCAGCAUUCAUUAGAGCCCGAUCAAUAAUCGGCAUAAUGGUGAUAUUCACACACCUGUUGGCAAUUUGGCAUCCACAAACAUAUGCAGAUAGAUGCAGAUAUAAAAAGGAGAAAGGAACCAGAUUACGCUAACCAAUUUAUCAGAAAUCAUGCACCAGAUCAUGGUCGUAAAAAUCAGGGAUGUGGGAGUUAUAAAUUCCUAGAGGUAAGGAAGUGGGUGAUUCCUGCUACCCACGUUUCAGCUGAUAUGGCUGGCGUGGUAGGAGGAUAUCUAAGAGGUGGACCACUAAAUCAGCAAUAAACCAUGAGGUCAGGGAGUUGAACACCAAACCAUGAGGUCAGGGAGUGGAACACCAAACCAGCCAUGAUUCCAUAAGAUGUGGAAAUGGGUUUAUCAGCAACAUCUACCACCACAAAUAAAGAAGCAAACUAAAAAUACUUGGAGAUUACAUCAGAACAUUUACCAACUCUCAACAUGACAAACAACUCAAAGAAAUUCUCUCAAAAAUAGUACUUUUCAUGGGAAAAUGCUCUCAAUUUAGAAGCGUUCAUAGAUUCUUUAGGCUAGCUUUAGGAUUUCCCAAGCUUUCUUGCAAUCAUUUCCCUUUCGUUUAACCUUUCCAUUUCAUGUUUCCAAGCAGUCUUUAUAUUUCAAGCAAUCUUUAUAUUUCCAAUCAAUUGUUGAAUUUCCGGCAAGGUCAUGUUUCAAACUUUAAUUCCUUUAUCAGUUUAUAAAUUAGCUUUCUUCCCAUUGCUUUCUUUAUCAGUCACUUUGUCAUGAAUUUCAAGCCCUUGAGGCUACUGAUGGCAGAUGGACAACAGUGGUCUACAAGUCAGAGGGCACAUCCUCUCGCUUACAGAUAUCAGCUCAUUUUUCAUCAUUUUCCUGAUCCAAAUCAGGUGGCAUGCUCGCAACAACUACAACAUCGACGUCAGUUCGUCAGCUGCCAAAAAUCAACGCAAACAGGUCUCUUUGGGAAGACCAUUUACAUACUUUUCAUUAUCACCUGGGCGUUACUCACGUCCUCUGCCUCUACCAUUUUCAAGAAACUCACUAAUUAUUAGAUGAAAAUGAUCUUCUCUAGCUUUCAGUCUAAAGCAAGCUCUUCAUUUCUGCUUAUUUUCACUUGCAAGUGAUUACCUACCCAAAACAACUCCUUUUAUUCCGUAAUCUCAUUCUAGGAUAGUGGUGCAAAGCAACAAAAGUUUUGAACAGAGUAUCUUUAACAUAAGAUCCCUACAACACGGAAUAAUCUUAAGCCAACAACUGAUACACCUAGAUUAAUUUCAACAUGAUUUAUUAGUAAAAUACCAACCUGUAAGUAUAUCACUUUUCUGGACCUCGAAAAUUGCUUUUAUUUGUAGUCCAUUGGCUUCUAUUAUUCUUGCUUUUCAUGACCUUCUCAAUACUUCCCUUUUUCGCUUUUGAACAAAGUUUAGGAGGAUGGAAUUGGAAGGUCACUGGCCCAAAAAGGGCUAAUCAAACAAAAGAACAAUAAGAUAGUCAUCCAAAAGCACUCACAGCAACCUCGCAAAAAAAUUUCACAUUUAAUAUUAAAAAAAAAUUAUCCAAAUCUAUAUAUUUAUACUUACAGAGCCUGGAUUGAAGGACUCCAAGUUGACGCCUUCGAUCUUGCCUUCCAUCUUGCUCAUGCCGUUUGUCACGUAAGUGUAAGGUUCACAAGACAAGUAGAGAUUUUUCACCAAAAUUGCGCCCGAAGAGCCUCCCGGAAGCUUCAGCUUCUUUCUGGCGGUCCUGAUUUCCAUAUCGCUCUCCUUCGGAGAACCCCUGACGCAGUGGUUCAGUAUCACCUGCUUGUUCUCCACUUCUUCCCCUUCCGCCAUUUUUCCCCUCAAAGCUGCUCUCAACUGAGCUGAAAAUGGCGCGAAGUAGCAACUAGCAAUGCAUACGUAUCCUGUAUUGUUACUUCAACUGUUCUUCAAUCUCAUCCGUACUAAAUAAGGAGAAAUCCCUAAUUUUAAGAUAUGCAGGGUUUGAAACCUUUUAGUAUUUGAUUAUUAAUAAAUUCAUGCUCAUACAUUUCUGUUUAUUUUUUUCUUUAUAUAUUCAAAUAAACCGUUUUUGUUUUUCUUUUGAGUGUGGGUUUUGCUUUUUAUUUUGUAAAAUUAUGGAGAAUGAAUUUUUAAGUUAUUAUCCAUUGAUCUUGAAUUUUCAAAUAUUACCUGAUCUCAUAAUUGGAUUAGUAUUUGCUGUAAAUCCUAGUCUUCUCGUCUCAUUGAAAGUGUCGUACUUUCUAUUUUGGGAUGUUCCAAACAUUUGUCAUAUUAGGAAAAUCAAAGCACAUUUUAGUCUUUCUUUCUAAUAUAGCCCUUCUUUCUAAUCAUAGGCAUGUUAUCAUUCAAAUUUAAAUUUUGAAUUUGUGAGAGUAAAAUUGGAAAGAAAAACACAAACAUCACAAUCAAACCACUAUUUUUAAAAAGUUGGAUUUCCAAAAUAUAACUAAAUAAUUGGGACGGAGGGAGUAUUUAAACUCAACCACUUCCCUUUUCUCUUUCCCAACAAACGUUAACAGCUUUUAUAUAUCAAACUGGAUACUACAAUUACAAAAAAGGGGCCACUGCCCUCGUCUCCUUUCUUGCUAUUUCUAAUAGCCAUAUUGAGAAAUCACAUUCCUAUUCUAUGUCCUGGACUAACUUUACUGCAAAUUGAGCAACUUCAUGGCUGCAUCUGUUUUCUGCUCUAUUCAGAAAAGAAAAGCUACAGGAUUGAAACCACUGCCUUAAAUCCUGAAUGUCCUCCAGGAUAAUUGCAAUGUUGUAGUUAUUUACAUUGCAUGUGUUGAUUUGAUCCGCCACUGAUUUGAAGUCUGUGUAGACCUCUAUUUUGGUCGACCCUGCAUCUUUGGCCAUCACUAAGGCAUUUCUUAUAGCUAAUGCUUCCAUCAUGUUGGCUUCACUCCUUCUCUGAUGUACUAUCCCUUUUGUCUUCACAAUUUUUCCUAUCCAAUUUCUUGCUAUUACUCCUUACCCAAUUUUUACCAUUCUUGCUGAUAUUGCUACAUCAGUAUGCAACCUAAUCACUCCUUCCAUUAGUGGCUCUCUCUUGAUCUAUUUUUGUUCUUGCACAACAACAUUCACUGGUUCUUCAGUUUCAGUUUCUUUCGCCUAUUCAUACUCCAUCCAAUCUUCUUGUGUCUUUUGCACAAUCUUGUUUGUGUCAGGAUUGAUUUUCUCAAAUACUUUUUUGUUCUGAACUUUCCAGAUUUGCGACAAUAUAUUGAUAGUAAUGUUGAUCCUGUCUCGACCAUGGUCCAUUGAGCUUGCUUGCAUUGCCAUCUUCCACUAUUUCCACAAGUUGUGUUGUUCUUUUAGCCCCUCCCAUUUGAUUGGAGCCAGUUUCCAGACCAGCUCAGCAUUUUCACAAAAGAAGAACAUAUGCUCUAUAGUUUCAAAUUCUUCCCUACAACAAUCACAUCUUCCAUCCCUCUUUCCUAGACUUCUAAAAAUCAUCUCAUUAACUGGGAUAUAGUUUUGCAGACAUUUCCACAUAAAGUGAUUCAAUUUUGCCUUUAUGUUUAGUCCCCGUAGCCUUUUCCAAACACAGUGUUUCCUAAUCUCCCAACUAGUUUCAGCAUUGAUCCCCUCCUUUUUCCUAUGCUAGUUAUCCUCCUCUUUAGCCACUUCAUAUCCAGAUUUUACAGGAUACACACCAGUUUUGGAAAAACUAAAAAAUGAUCUGUCCAUACUUCUAUGCAGGCUAAGAAGGAUAUUUUCUAUCAGUUCUGCCUCAUUUUACUGAAUAGUUGCUGUAGGGUCUCCUUUUUCCAUCUGCCAUACUCUAUCAAAUAACCUACAUUUUCAAAAUGACAAUUUGCAGGUCUUCUUGUGGUCACUAUGCCUUUUUCUGAGCCUAUUAACCACUUAUUCUUCCAAAUGUUCACACUUGGUCCAUCACCAAUUCUUUUCCAUAACCCUCGAGCAAUAGCUUCCUUGCACUGUGGAUACUUUUCUAGCACUAUGAUCUUGAUUUUAAGGGUUCCUUCUCUAGCCACCUUGGAUCUCUCACGUAUUUAGCUUUUUAUCACCUUGCGUAAUUCUCCAAAUUUGCUUUGCAAGCAAGGCUGUCUUGAAAGCCAUUAGAUCUCUAAAUCUCAACCCUCCUUUUUCUUUUACUUCAGAAAGUUUCUUUCAGGUUGCCCAGUGUACAGUGUUUUCCUUUUCUCCACUACCUCACUAAAAUCUGGCAAUUCUUGCUAUGAUCUCUUUGUAUAGUCCUUUGGGAAGCUUAAAACAAGCCCUAGCAUAAUUUGGCAUAACUAUUAUGACUGAUUUGGUAAGGACUUCUUUACUUGCUUGACUUAGCAGCCUUUGUUUCCACUCCUGCAUUUUGUUGAUGAUUCUACACUUUAUGCAUCCAAACACUUGCUUCUUUGAUCUGCCAAUGGCCGUAGGCAAGCAUGUUCCUUUUGUUGCUUCUCUCAUCCUAUCCAAGGCCUCACUUGUCUGCUGUUUUGCUUGAUUUGCAAUGUUCUUGUUGUAAUAUAUAGCAGACUUUUCACAAUUUACCACUUGACCAGAAGCUUUGCCAUACUAUGUAAGGACUUCUUUUAAUUUUUCUGCCUCUUGUUGGCUGGCUUUGCAACAAAGCAGUGAAUCAUCUACAAAGAAUAAGUGAGAAAUAACAGGUCCAUUUUUACUAGAUAGUCCUUUAGCAUAGAUGAUGAAGAUGUAAGGUGAUAAGGGGUCUCCUUGGCGGACUCCUUUGCUUGGUCUAAUGUAUCCUAUUUUUUGGCCAUUUAGAUUGAAGGAGUAAGAGAUAGUUGACAAGUAGAUCAUGAUCCAUUUAACAAACAUAGGAUAGAAACCCAUUUGAGUCAUCACCCUACCCAAAAACUUCCAUUCUACUCUAUCAUAGGUUUUAGACAUGUCAAGUUUGAUAGCCAUGAAUCUUUGUUUGCCUUUCCUUUUUUUUUUCAAGAAGUGAAGCAUUUCAUAGGCUAUGACAACAUUGUCUAGGAUUUGUCUUCUUGGGAUGAAAGUUAAUUGGGUACUGCUAAUGUAGUGAUUCAGGACCUUUUUAAGCCUAGUAGCCAGCAUUUUGGAAAUGAUCUUAUAUAGGACAUUACACAAACUAAUAGGCCUAUAAUUAACCACACUUAUUGGGGCAUCAGUUUUUGGGAUUAAAGAGAUGAUAGUUUCAUUCAUUAUUUUGAGAAGAAAACCAUAAUAGAAGAAACUAUUUAUGGCAGAGAUAAUGUCAUUGUUAAUUAUAUGCCAGUAAUACUGGUAAAACAGCGGUAACAUACCAUCAGUACCUGGGGCCUUAUUAGGGUGCAUAGAGAAAAAGGCUUGUCUGAUUUCUUUCUCUUCAACUAGUUUGAUCAACUGCUCAUUCAUUCAACUAGUAAUAGUGUGAAGCACUUCUACUAAUAUUUCCUCAAAAUUGUCAGGAUUAGUUGUAGUGAACAAGUCCCUGUAGUAGUAACUCAUCUCCUUCUUAAUUUCCUGCUCAUUGGUGUACCUGGUUCCAUCAUGUUUCUGUAAGGUGCUGAUCAUGUUACUUUUUCUUUUUGUCAUUACACUUGUGUGGAAGAAUGCUAUAUUUCUGUCACCUUCUUUCAGCCAUCGCCAUCUUGAUUUUUGGCUCUAAUAUAGUUCUUCAUCCUUGUAUGCUUUGCUGAGUUUUGUUUUGAGUUCAACAAUCUUGCCUCUCUUGUGUGGUUCAUUUCUUACUUUGACCACUGCUAGUUGUUCCUUCAAAUCCUGUAUUCUUACCUUUGAGUUCCUUUUCUCCUUCUUAUUCCACUCUAGCAUAGCAAUCUUGCAAUCCUUUACUUUCUUAGUCACUUUAUACAUUCUUGAUCCUGCUUGCUCUUUUUCCCAUGCCCUUUUAACCACUUUCUUUAUCUUAGGAUUUUUGGUCCAUCUCUAAUCAAAGUAUAAUCUUUUUUUGUUCCUACCUUUUGAAGGAUUAAUGUCCAACAUCAACAGGUGGUGGUCUGAGGCCUCCUUUUCUAUAUGUGUACAGGUGGGCUUUCCAAAUCUCUGCAUCUAACCCGUAUUACUGAGACACCUAUCCAACCUCUCCUUGACCUCCCUAUCUCCUUCCCAGGAAUUAUUCCAUGUCCAUGGUACUCCCUGAUAACCUAAGUUUAUGAGCUCGUUCCCUCUGAUGAAAUUGUUAAAUUCUUUUAGACUCCCUUCAGUUAUUUCCUUUCCUCCCCAUUUUUUCCCAGUUGAUCUAAUAUCAUUGAAGUCUCCCACCAAUAUCUAACUCACCCUAUUCCUUUUUUCUAUUCUCUAUGUGUUUCCAUUGCUCCUUUCUCGUAAUGCUGUCAGCACUUGUGUACAGGCACACUAACCAUCAUUGGCAUUUAGCUUCCUCAUCUUCUAUCCUCACUAAUAUGUACCAAUUCGUAUCUUGCACUUGGUUUAACUUCACAUCCUUUUUCCAAAACAAUGCCAAUCCUCUUGCUCUACCCACUAAAUUUACAAAAUGUUCAUUAUCAUAUCUAAUUUGUUUUUGUAUUUUCUUCAAGAAGGUUUCUUGAUUUUUUGUUUCACACAAGAACACAAUGUUAGGAGAGUGGAUGUUUAAAACCUCCUUUAAUUGAGGAAUUGUCAAGAGGCCUCCUACACCUCGACAAUUUCAUACCAUUACCCUCAUUUAACCAUUGAAGGCAUUUUGGAGUUAGCCUCCAUUUCCUCAUCAAAUUCUGUAUAAUUUGCCUCCAUUUUCAAUGCUUUCAAUCUUGGUCCCUCUGCAGUAUCCUUUUCCGUUGGUUCAACUUCCAACCAUACUGUUUCCAUUUUUCUCUUUCCCCCCAAUUCUCCUCCUUGAUUCCUGUUUGUGAUGUCCUUCAUUGGUGUUCUAUUUAUCCUUGCAAUUUUCUUGACAUACAUGUCUUUUCUCCUCCUUUCUACUGCUGUUGCAAUUUCUUUCUAUAGUCCUUUCUGCCUUCUCUCCACUUCACUUAGGUCACUUGUCUGGCCACUUGUGUUCUUUUCUUCUAUAAUCAUAUCCACCACAUUUUGUUCCCUUCCCCUUAUUUCCUUCACCUUCUCCUCCAAGGGACCAGUGUUCUUUCUUUCAUUUUCCUCAUCGAAGUUAUUUCCUUUUUUCCUCUCUUGUCUUUUUUUUUUUGCCAGUUUUGUUCGUGUAGUAGUUCUCUCCACUUCUCCUCAUUUGCCAUUUUCUCGUAUAUACUUGGGUAUUUUGUUUGCCAUUUCCAUUCUUUACUGCCAAUAAAUUGCCAUCAUUCACUUUGGAAGACCAAGUUCCUAUAGUCACCAUUAUGGCUUUGUUUGAUUCCCUUUCCUCAGUUUUCUUUCUUGCUUUCUCUUUUGUUAAUCCAUCCCACUUUUUUAGUGGUGAUGUCAUUAUGUUCCUUACCCUCAUCCAUGCUCACUACUACACUUCUCUUUGGAUCUGCCCUUCUUUUUCUUCCUCACAAGAUUUGUCUCCAUGCCCAAUCACUCCACAGCUCUAACAAAAAUCUGGGCACCCCUCAUACUUAAACUCCAUCCACACCAUCUGAUCUUUAAGUGUCAUUGUUGUUCCUCUUAUUAAAGACUGUGUUAUAUCAAUUUUCGCUAUCUUCAUGUGCCUUCCUUCUUUUUCACUCGUUGUUAGUAUUAUCACCUCUCUCACAGAGUUGAAGAUCUCUCCUAACUUAAAUCUUACAGCUCUACUCAUCCAGUAGACUCGGAGAUUCGACAAUUGGACCCAAAUCAAGGGAUGCUUAAAGCUAUUAGGAUCUUUUUCACAACCUUCCAACCAUUCCUAAAUGAUUAAUACAUGGUUGUCCAUUAGCCAUGGACCCCCUACUAGUAUCCUUCUUUUUUGUCUCUUCCUUUUCUAGGUGGAACUGGAACAAAUUAGGUCCUAACUCAGUUAUCAUUAUUUUCCUAGGAUAACCUCAAGCAUGAUUUGUGAAAUUCUUGAUCCUUGUGAAAUUUGCCAAUUUUGCCCUAUGAUCUUCCCCACUAAGCUACCAUUGCACCCUCGUAUACCUUCUUCCACAUCUUCCCCACUUAGAUCUAUUCCUCCUAACUCCUUCUCAGACAGAUCGAAAUUCUGGAAUGCCUAAGCUAACAAGUUCUCCAUGACCUGGGAAUAUUAGAGAAGUGCCUUUACUAUUCAAGUCUCAGAAUCGUUCAGUUGUUUAAACCUACAAGAAAAUUCUAAUAGAGAAGCUUAAGGCCCAGAAAAGAGACAAAUUAAGAGGAAAAAAACACAGCUUAGGAAAAGAAAAUAGUUCAAAAAAGCCCUAAAGGACUAGAAGGUUUAGUUAAAGAUGACAAUAAAACGUGUUCUUGGACACUAGUUUGUUAAUGAAUCAUGCUUGGUACUGUCAUUUGCUCCCGCAAUAAAUGAUUGUAAGAAAGAUAGAUCACUAAUCUAUACAUUCAAUGCUAUUGGUGUCUUUGGGUUCAGAAAGUUUGAGCUUUUUGAAUUUUUGGUGUUUUGAAAUUUGAAACUCCUACAACGAGGAGAUAUACUCUGUGAGGACUCGCAAAUUUUCUUAUAUUAAAUUCUUAUUUCGAGCUCAUUUAAUUAUUUACUUGGUCAUUUACUCCGAAUAUUAUUUUCUAGCCUCUUGAGACCUAAUUACAUUAAUCUAUGACUUACUUAUAUUUUUAGAGUGGCUCGUUUCAAAAAUUAAUUUUUCGAAACCCGUUAAAUGAAAAUAGUGAAUGCACGUUUGGGAACGAUAACCGAUUUAAGGGUACAAUGACGUUGGAAACUUGGAGACAUGUACAAUGGUUCUAAAAUAGGUAAUUUUAGGUUUAAGUACUCAAGUAAUAGUUAGUGGUACGAUCGUUAUAAGAAUUUCUCGGAGAUUUCACUCUAUCGCGCUUAAAGUGGAGAUACGCGUUUUCACGCGGGCGAUUAAUUGAGGAACUUUAGACCCUUAUUUUGGGGUAAGUAAGAGUGAAUAAUAUUUAUAUGAAUAUAAGUGCAUUAGAGAUUUAGUGCACUAGUGAAAUAAACUCGAGAGGAAUCGAGCACAAAAAGCGCGCGUACGCGCACUAUUCCUAAUUGACUUUUGAAACAAACAUUGGCCAAAUCUUAAAGCUUCUCACCGAAGCUUAUCAUCAGCAAUUGCUCUUCUUUUUCUGCUCUCAUCAGCCGAGUAACACAAGAGAAAAUAACACUCCAAGCUUAAACUUUCUCCUUCAAAUUUCUCCAUCAAACUUCCUCCGUUUCACUCCAAAUUUCACACACAUUUAGCUUAACACUUGGAGAGUUCAUCUAGCUACAAAAAAAGGGAACUUUCCACGGUUUUCUUGGACCAAGAGAGGACCAAAAUUUCUGUCUAGUUCAUCAACCAAAGUAAGUAAUGAUCCAACAAUCUAAGCUUGGUUUAUGGAGGUUGAUUAACACCUUUAAGCUCUUGUAUUCAUAUGGGUGGUUGUUAUUGUUGGAAAAUUUGGAAGGUGGAUUCUAUGAACUCCCACCCUUGUGUUGAUGACUGAUGUGAUGAUUGAUGAUGGAUUUAAUGUUGAUUUAGUGCUCAAAAUGGUAGAUUAAUGGUGUAUUAUUAGUAUAAACUUCAAGAAAUGCAUGGGGUAAAAAGUUCCAAUUCUGCCCCUGCUUUGAACAUACCUAUUUCUGCGGAAUUUUGAGGUUGUGAUGACUUAUAUAUGAUGUUUAUAUGUUGUAUAGAUGGUGUAAAAAAUUUCAUUGAAAAAUAUUGAGGUUUGGUGGGUCAAAUGAAUCGAUUUCACAAAGUUAGUAAAUCUGGAACUGUUCCCGUAAUGCCCUGACCAGCUUUCGUGUUUCGGCCAUAACUUUGUGCUCCGAUGUCGAAAUCGAGUACUGUCAGUGGCAUUUAAAACUAGACAUUCCCACCUUUCCGACAGUAUAAAAUACAUGUCUGGUUCCAUAUAUGUGAGCCGAACCAACCAUUUAAAGUCAGCUGUUCUGUUUCUCUGUUUUCCUGGAACGAAAUACUGAGGCUGCAACUUGUGGCUCGAAUUCGAUCUAGUUGUGUGCCGAAUUUCAAAAUGAUUUCUUCUGUGAAAUUUUAGCUCUAUGAAUGUAUUUUCCAACUCCAUAAACCAUGCCCAAGUCUGAGUUAAUUUGAGUGAUUUAUGAUCAAAAUACGAAACCUGCCUUGCUCUUGAAAAUCCUAACUUUUGGACAGAUUUGAUGCAAGGCUUGGUGUAGACUUGCUAAUUGAAUUUCUUGGUGUUAAACACCUACCAAAUGUACCAUGAAUAUUCCUUAGGCCCUGCCUACACUAAUGAACCAUGUUUGGAGGUUUUCCUUGACCAAAUGUUUGGAAACGGCAAGACGGAAAUUCAAAGGCAGCUUAGCCUUAGAAUUUCUUGUGAUUUCAACAGUUUUGUUAACCCACUUUCUAUGCUUAUUUAUCCAUGAAAUUUAGUAGAGGAACGACCCUUAUAUGGUAGUAUUAUACUGCUAAAUUUUGUGUUAUUCCGAGGCCGUUUCAUUGCUCAACUAAACUUCCAAAGUCCGUGACUUGAUUUUGGAAAAAACCCUUGUUUCCCAAAAAAAUUUUGGUAACUUUGAAUUGCCAUAUCUUAGUGCUAAAAACUCGGUUUCUUGUUUUGCUUAUUUUGUUGUAAACUUGGAUUGCAACUCUAAUGGUGUUCCAAAUUUCAAAAGCUAGUUCCAAUCAAGUGAAUUUUGCCAAAUUUUCAAAAUUGGCCAAAAACCAACCUAAACCUGUCUUUAGUGCCCCAGAACAGUAACUUUGAGCUAAUUUUUGGAUACCUUCCGUUUGGAAUCAUGGAAAAUAGUCUUAUAAGAACUUUUAGUACUUUCUAAGAGGUUUCCAAAGGUAUCAAUUUUUCUAAUUUUGGACCUACUGAGUGCAAGAUCUGAUUUUUCUAAAUUUGACGCGCAAAGCUGAAAUUUGCCGAUUCCUUAGAAAAUGAAAAUUUGAAAACUCGUUAUUUCUUCUUGAUGAUAAUUGGUCGCUUUAAACUUGAUUUCAUGAAGGAAAUCAGUUUUUCUUGUGUUAAUAAAAUCUCACUUUUGAACCUUUAUUUUGAGUGGCUAAGGUUCUUGGUUUGAGAUAUUGACUAGUCCAAACGAGCGUAACUCCUUUCUUGAUUAAUACGUGAUUGUGAGUGAAAAAUACUUGUUAAUUGCUUCAGGUGCUCAAACGAGUCUUGAAGAGAAUCCCGGAGGGGAGAACUAAAGAUUUUCUCGCUCAAUUACUUUUGAAUUGGUGAGUGUCAAGUGCUUGACUUGUCGUGUUUACUUGAUUUACCUGCUUAUAUACGUGAAUAUCACUUGAUGAGACGAGUGUGUACUUUAUCGCACUCGCUCUCUUUUACUCGAACUUUCCUUGCAUUAACUUGGUUUUCAAAGUCGAUUUGAGUGAAUCUCGUCGACUAGAAUAUACCCGUUUUUGUGUGCAUGUCGUGUUGUCGGGUGGAGUGAAUCUCCUCAACUUAUGGGGACGCCCAAUUCUCUUAGCCAAUCUUGCAACUUGAGCCAGCAUGGACUUGGUCGAGAAGCUUGAUAAACCAAGAGAAUAACAAAACACAACUUGAUCUUUUGAGAUCUUGUUCGGCAUACUCGUGGAGUAUCGCCCUUUUCGUGCGUGUUCAAAAAUCAAAACUUGAUCUCUUGAGAUCUCGUGCGGCAUACUCGAUGAGUAUUACCUUUUUCGUGCGUGUUUGGUUACGGAUCCGAGAGAGUGAAAUGUUGGCCGGAGGAAGUAAUAAGUGAAGUUUCUACGGAUAUAAUACCCACCCGGAUGACGGAGUGUCAUCACGAGGAGGUAUCGGAUCGAGCCAUGGCGAAGCAAGUGGAAAAUAGCUCCUGAGAGUUCCUAUAUCCUUGAAUUGUUUCUGUUUAAUUUUCUCGCUUGAAUUGUUAUAUAUUGAAAUUUCAUUGCUCUACUUGUUAAAUUGGGAUUGUUACUUGAACUUUGAUAAAAUAGAAAAUAGAUAUGGGACAGAGGGUUUUUCUAAAUAACUAACUUCUCUAAAUUCGGAAGAUUUUGAACAUAUAAUGAAAAGAUCACUCGCCCUUUUUGAAUUUGAAUUCAAACGUGUGGAAUCCAUGUUCCCAUCUACAACGUGCUCGCAUGUGUGUUCUUGGCCUCACGAGCUAUUGGCUCACCCUGUAGAUUUGUUUUCCUUAACAGGAUUGGACAUGGAGUGAACUCGGAGAAACCCCAUUCGAUGUACUUUUGGCUUAGGGUUUCUAAUGUAAUUUGGGUUAGACCACUUGAUUGGAUGUAUUUUGGGAUUUUAAUGUAUGACUGGAAUAUUUGAUGUACCUGGAUGUAUAUAUUUUGGAAAUUGAAGUAUCCUUGGAUAUUCUAUGUAAGGUUUGGGUAAUCAUUUAAGUUGUUAAGUUUGAAAGCUUCCGCAUUAUUUGAUUUGCCUUACCUAGUUGUGAUGUCUAGUAUUGCAUUAAGUUUGAAUGAAAAUUGCUUGAGUCCUGGCGAGAAUUGGGCAGGUGUCCCGCAGAUACCCUCUGGUUCGCCUUAGGGAGAAGUGGGGGCGUCACAUACUCUAAAGUUAGAGAGAGAAACUCUCGUGCUAGAGAGAGGAGACUCAUGAUUGCUUAAUUCAACCACUUCCCGUGCUAUCUAAAUAUGCCUAUUACUGAGCAAGUUAUUGAAUUAGUUAAUUAGCAUGUUAGCAUCUGGUAUAAAAAUAACAUUUUUCUUUGACAAAGAUGUGCAAUAUUAUCUGGUCAGUUAAUAAUGAUAAAAGUAAUGCUUAUACUACAUUGUACUAUUUCAUUGAUAAUAGAGUUACAAUUUUACUAAGUUUUGUGUACUAGAUACAUAUUAGGGUAAAAAAUCUCAGCGGUCACUAAACUAUUGGUCAGAUCAAGUUUUGGCCAUCAAAUUAUUUUUCGUCAGUAAUUGGCCACUAAACAACUUAAUCAGUGAAUUCGUGACCAUUUAGUCAAUAAUUGCUCUUAAUCUGUGAAAUUAGCAGUACACGUGGCAAAGCACGGGGUAAUUUUGUUUAACAACUACGCAACUCUAUUUCACAGAUUAACCGCAAAUUUUACAGAUUAAAAGCAAUUAUCGACUAAAUAGUUACGAGUUUACUGAUUAAAUUGUUUAGUGGCCAAUUAUUGACGAAAAAUAAUUUGAUGGCCAAAACAUGAUCUGACCAAUAGUCUAGUGGCUGCUGAGGUUUUUUUACCCUACAUAUUAACAAUAGUUGAUGUAGAAUCAGUUGUCUUGAGGCUUACUUCAAAUAUCUUAAAAAUCUAAUUCUAACUACGAAAUAUUAAUUGGGUUGGUAUUUAGCAUUGGUUAGAUAGAUUUGUAAUAUUAGGGAUUGCACAAGUCAAUAGAUUAUAUCUUAUAAAUCUAAUUCUAACUAUGAAAUAUUAAUUGGGUUGGUAUUUGGCAUUGGUUAGAUAGAUUAGUAAUAUUAGGGAUUGCACGAGUCAAUAGAUUAUAUAUGACAUUUAAGCCAUACUAAUGCUAAAAGAUUAGAUAGAGUAUGUCGAAUAGAUUAAGCCAUACUAAUGCUAAAAAGAUUAUAUAUGAAAUUUAAGCCAUAUUAAUGCUAAAAAGAUUAGAUAGAGUAUGUUGAAUAGAUGUUUAAGAGAGAACUAUACAAUAUUAUUUAGUUUUAUCAUUAAAGCGUACAACUGUAACAUGUGUGAGGUCAUUUUUUUUUUUUUUCCAUUUAGCGAAAGAAAAGAUACGGACUUCGUAUUUAGCAAAUGCGAAUUUAAAGAGUUUGCAUUUUCUAAAUGCGAAGACCCUUCUACUAAGAAUAACCAACUCAAAAAACUCAUGUUGCAAAAUUACUUUCUUUUCUAUUUUUCAUAACAAUUUUAGAAUUUACUUUGACAUUCUUCACAUGCCAUCUAUCCUGCCACCGCACCCACAAGCAUCUACCACCACCCUUUACCGCCACAUCUCCCCUCUCUCUUCUUCUCUCUCUUGCCACCACCUCUCCUUUUCUCCACCUACCACCACCACCACCACCAUCUCUAUCACGUGCCACUAGCAACCACCCUCAUCCACUUCCUCUCUCCUCCUAUUUCUCCCUCUUUUACAACAAUCACUCAACCAACCCCUCUUUCCUACUUCCCCUCCUCCUUUCUCUUCCCCAACCCUUUCUCCUCUCUCCCAAAUUUGGUCACGAGACCAAAUCUCGGCCACCUAUGCCCCUCCCCCCACCCCAGAUCUAAGGGAGAGGGUAGGGGAUGGGGGACUACUAGGUGCCAAUUCAAGUUGCUAAAUAAUUGGUUCCUACAAAUGGCAUCAAAUGUUCAUGCUAAAAAUUGAGUUGGUUCCGAAAUGAUAAAUAAAUCCUCAUUAGUGCAGUCAAUAUACAAUAACUAAGUUCUUUGGUCUAGUUGGAGCGGUAAUAAUGAGUUUUUUCAAAUAUAUACAAGCAGGUAUCCAUGUAUCUACAAUAGAUUCAAGAAGUAAAUAACGGGACUUGGUAUCUACUUUAAAUUCAAGAAGUUCCAGGAGACUUUUGCCCGCUGGGAGAGUUUCCAAUACUUAAAGUCACCAUCUAGAUUUGGAGACAAUAAUUCACAUAUAUAUAUGUAACAAAUUAUAUUUAAAAAAAUGUUGAUUGAAAUGACUAAUCUUGUACUUUACUCUUUAUACGGGAGAAUUAAGAGGCUUUCACACCAUGAGUUCUGAUAAAUCUUAUGAUCUUGUGAAAAAUUGAAUUGAUCCAAUAUAGUUCUAGUAUACCCUAUAUUUGCAUUUGACACGUGGUGUUAUGUACUUGGUCAUAUAUUUUUUAUGUCAUUACCUCCCUUCUAAAGCUAAAGCUAAAAAUUCCUCCCUUCUCCAUCUCAUUUUAUAAUUGAUCCAUUUUAUCAAUGCCUUUGUAACUGAGAGUAGAGUUACACACCUUGCAGGAAAUUCUCUAUCCUCCAAGUUGUUCGCAAUUUUAUCACUAGAGAGAAGUUGAUGAACCAAUUGCUCUUUAGUCCUUAGUGCCUCAAUUGGCAAUUGAAGUAUUUUCUCAAUUCUCUCUCUGUUUCUCACGACUUUAACUGUACCUAUCUCUUUAACACCCAAAAGAUUCCGGACCAUUUACAGAAGCCAUUUGUUUCUCCAUGUCAACUCUGUGGAUAUAAAGCAAAAUGCUGCAUCUAUCAUUCUUAGGGCAAAAUGCUGUUGAUUAAUAUCUCCAACACAGAAAAGCACCAACUGAUCUUUCCUGUACUCACAGAAAGAUUAUACAAGAUGCUGCUAUUGGGCUCCGGCAAACAGGGAGAUUCUAUUUGUGUAUUUGACAAGAUGCCAGUCGAUAAGACAAAGCCAAGCACAACAGCUGAAACCAUUCCAUGAGUUCCACUCGAUACACAGUAAACAGCUACUAUUUGUUUCCCAACAUUGCAUGAGAUACCAAGUAUACUAGACAAAACCAAAGCACAAAACUUGAAAAGGACGCUCUAGAUGAUAUAAAUUAUCCGCGGGUAACAGCUACCACCUGCUUCCCAAUGUUACGCCCCGAGAAAAGCCCUAUCAAAGCACUUGGGGCGUUCUCAAGGCCUUCAGCUAUGUCUUCCACAUAAGUAAUCUUCCCUUCUUUUAUCUGUGGGAUAAUCAUUUCCAGGAACUUAGGAUAGAGAUGGUAGUAAUCAAACACCAGAAAUCCUUCCAUUCGAAUUCGCUUGGUGACCAGACAAAACAGAUUUUGAACUCCUUCGGGCUGCUCAAGGUUAUAUUGUGAUAUCAUGCCACAGGCAGCAAUGCGGCCGUAGGGGGUCAUGUUUAGAAGCACGGCAUCAAGCAUCUUUCCUCCUACAUUCUCGAAGUAAAUAUCAAUACCAUCCGGAAAAUACCUGCAAAAUCAAGAUUCGAGUCAGAAGUCUAUGUCCUUCUAGCUGUCGAAAGUACUGAUAAAAUUGCAGAUCACCUUGAUGUCAUUCACAGAAAGUACUUUGAAUGACACAAAGAAACGAGAAACUAUAAAUGCCAACUUUGAGCGGACGAAAUCAAUCUCAGAAUCUGAAAAUUUCAUUUUGAGCUGAAAAAAUACUAUUCAGUGGCACAUCAACGUGCUUUAUCUGAGUACAACGCCCUCUUCAUCAAGAACUAUGCUGUUCCAGAGAAAAAGCAGAAUUUAUGGGGCUUUUCUUUCUUAAUUCCUCAUUAACCCCACUAUUGUGGAAAGCUGACCUUUUCAGAGCCACAUUUAAAUCUGCCUCUUCUUUAUAGUUGAAAGCUUCAUCAAACCCGAACUUAUUCUUCAAUAAAUCAACCUUAACAACAAAAAAACAGAAGUCAAUAGCAGCAAAAACAAGCAAAGUGAGUUAAUUGGUCUUUUAGCUUUUAGAUCCACAUAUCAGAAUCAUCAGAACACUUUUCUUUAAGAAACAGUAAUUAUGCCAAAUGCCUGAAGAGGGCCACUGGGUACAGGGGCAGUAAAAAUUUUGAUGCUGAAACAUAUUGUGAACUGUAAAGCUAAGGAACAUCCUAAACAUAGUUCACAUUCCAAUUCAGUUUCUAGAAGCAUCUUCAGGAUAACAAGUAGUUCCAGGUCAUACAUAGGUUUAUAUAGCUUCCACUUCAACAGGCCUGCAUGAUGUUUGAAAAUUCUUAGCCAAGAAAAAAUGCAAUUCGUCCAAAUAGAUACUCAAAAACUCGUCACUUGGUUAUCGUAUUCCAACUUCAGCUCAUAUCAACACACAGAACGCUGAACAUGAAAGAAUUUUGAAUGUCUGGAAGGAUAGACUUUUUAGCAGGACUACUAUAAGCCUUGACUAUCAUUUGGAUGUAGAGUUAUGAUAAGCAGGGUAUUGUGAGCUCAAAUAGUUUCUCACCCCACCUGGAAUUAGGAGAAACUGAUGGAGUGAACUUCUCAAUGUACUGACCUUUUCUUUGCUUCCAGCACUUCCAACAACAUAGCAGCCAAAUAGCUUUGCAAUUUGCCCAACAAGUUGGCCAACUGCUCCAGAUGCUGCUGAAAUAAAGACACGUUCUCCCUUCUUUGGAGAGCACACCUCAAAAAAACCAACAUAAGCAGUCAUGCCAGGCAUACCUGUUAGCAACUCAAAGCCAAUUAGAAAACCCUAUGGAGAAUAAGUGGGCCUUUUUUUUGGGUGGGGGGGGGGGGGGCGCCACUGAAACUAUCACUUUGCAAGUAAUAAAAUGACAAGAUUUUGCACUAUAAUUGAUGUAAAUGUUUCUUCCAGUAUGAUCAAUUUUCUGCAAGAUAGCAGAUUCAGACGUUACAAAUAACGUAGUAGAAAAAGCUGCGAUUACCAUAGGCUUAAAUGAUCAGUUAGAGGAACAUCAUUUAGAGAAAAGGAAUUAGUGAUGAGAGCAAGGGACUAAAUGAAAAAUGACUAAAAAACUUGGUGGAUCACUAGCUCAUCGUGUUUAUGCCUAAACAUCUGCUGAAGGCUGAGCUAAUAAAUUACAGGACCCCUUUCUUUUUAGAGACCAUAAGAUUUUCACUAUAAAGAGUUGAAAAUGGAAGGGACAGUGGGGAUAGAAAGGGAAUGCAAGUCUACCUAACUUCUAAUGUUGUUCAUUAUUCUUCAUGAUAAACUAUAACACGAAAAAGGAAAAGUGCUCCUCUUCUAAACAUUUUAACCCACUGCAUAAUGUUUCAAUUAUACUCUCUCUCUCUCUGUCUCACGCGCUCUCCCUCCCUCACUCUCUCUACACGACAGGUAAAGCUUGUUACGGUUUACAGCAAAACAUUAUUUAAAAAUACCAAUUGCACAUGAACACAAACUUCCAUUGGAAAGCUACUAUUUAUGUCAAUACUCGAAUAUCUGGUGCAGGAAGUUGAUUCUAUGAAAUUGCAUCAUAAUUAAGACACACUAAAUUCAACACAGGAAAUCAAAAUAUUAGCUUAUUCCGUCAUUAUUCACCAAUUAAAGAAACACACUUUCACCAUUGAAAAAUGAAAUGUUUGUAAGAAACUUACCCAGGAUGCCUGUAUAGUAGGACAAAGGCACAUCUGUGUGCUGAAUCUUAAAGAGACCCUCUGUAGAAGUGAUAACACUGUACUCUUCCCAUGUAGUCAUUCCCCAAACCAGAUCACCUUUCUUGUAAUUUUGAUGACUAGAAUCCAGAACUUCAGCCACGCCAUAUCCCACAAUAGGCUGCAAUGAAAGCAAUGACAUCAAGUUAUGGUCUUGACUUACUGACAAACGGUCAAAACUUUUUCCUCUUUCAAUUGAAUGAUUAACCACCAUUGAUGGUACUUGUCAUGCUGAUAAUCUAUUCUGGUAACUGGUUAAAUAAGUCUUACAAGAUAACAAUUCUACUGGAUAUGACAUAUUACAAUCAACUUCAACUAUAAUCAGUUAGGCAUACCAUGAAAAGAAAAAAAGGUAACUUUCGAGUACCCAUAUUACCGACUUGCCUAUCUUAACACAGAGAUCCAGUUAAUGUGGACCGCUAAAAAUGCUAAAAUAAAUAAUAUAUGCACAGGCAUUAUGUACUUGAAAGAUCACAAAAUGGAAAGCCAUUAAUCGAAAGAACCCCUGAAAGAAUCUCAAUUACUAAAAUGCAACCUGGGUUACCAACCAUAAACUGCCAUUAGAGUCACCUGUAACCUAGAUGCGAUCAUGCACUACCAAUCCAGUGUUAUGAUGUUAUAUCAUAUCCAAUAACUUCAGAAGCUCUAGAAAACAUGUGUUAUCCUUUUCUGAAAUAUUUACAUAAUGUGAAGCUGAUUAUAAGCAAGUUAAGAAUCUCCAAAUUGUAAGUUGAAUCUUUAAGUAUUUUGCCACAUCAUUUCACACAUGAUGACCUCAAAGACUGAAUCCAUUUAUUUUUCAUAGUUCUUACAACAAAAGAAUGUGCAAACCAGUGCCUCUUAAUUUCGCAUUGCUACAAUUGUUAAUUCCUUAAAUUCAACAUUGCCCAAGUUCAACGAAUAACAACAAACUCCCAAUGAUGGUCUUGAAAGAUGAAACAGACCUACAGAGCCUGGAAUAAAGGACCCAACAUAGCUUCCCUCGAGCUUUUGCAUACGAUUUCUCAUGUAAGGAUCACAGGACACAUAGAUAUCUGAAUCUUCUGGGAGCUUCAGCCUUAUGGAACUAGCUGCUAAAAUCAUGUUGGUCUCUUUGGGAAGACCAUUUACAUUGUUUUUCAUUAUCACCUGAGUGUUACUCACUUCCUCUGCCUCUACCAUUUUCAAGAAACUCUCUAACUAUCAGCUAACAAUGCCCUUCUCUAGCUUUCAGUCUAACCAAGCUCUCGACUUCCGCUUAUUUUCACUUCUAUGUGAUUACCUACCCAAAACAACUCCUUUUAUUCCAUAAUCUCCUUCUAGGACAGUGGUGCAAAGCAACAAAAGUUUUGAAUAGGGUAUCCACGACAUAAGAUUCCUGCAACACGGAGUAACUUUAAGCCAACAAUUCACUUUUCUGACCUUGUAAAUUGCUUUUAUUUCUAUUCCAUUGGUAUCCAUUAUUCUUGCUUUUCAAGACCUUUUCAAACACUUUCACUUUUUCUUUUGUACUAUCAAAGUUUAGGGGGAUGGAAGCUCAUUGGCCCAAAAAGGGUAAUUGUUCUUUCUACCUAAUCACCAUGUCCCAUCAACUACCUCAUCUGCUGAGACAACACAAAAGUUCGAAAUCCGGCAAACUCUCGAAUAAGAAACUUCAAGGAAGACUCAGAAUUUCUAACUUUGACCAAAACUCCCAGUAUUGGAGGUGUUCCAUCACUGAUUAUCAUAAAUUAUGAUAAUUAAUUAAUGAACUUUAAAUUGUCUAAUAUAUUUCACAAUAGACCAAUCCCAGGUGAUGUACCAAAAAAACAGAAAAAAAAAAACCGCCAUUCAAACAAAAGAACAAUAAAAUAAUCACCCAACAGUACCCAUAGCAACAGUAAAAAAAACAAAAAAAAUGACAGAAUUGACAUUUAAUAUUAAAAAAUUGGGUUAAUUCCAUUUUGUCUCCCCAAACUUUGGACGAUUACCCACUUAAGUCCCUAAACUUCAAAAUGGGACACUUAAGUCCCUAAACUUAUAAAUACAUCCCACUUAAGGAAAAUUGUUAACAAAUCCUAAAUGCCGUUGGUGGUUGAAGUGUCCCAUUUUAUAAGGGUUUAGGGAUUUAAGUGUCCCAUUUUAUAAGUUCAGGGACUUAAGUGUGAGGUAUUUAUAAGUUUAGGGACUUAAGUGUCCCAUUUUGAAGUUUAGGGACUUAAGUGGAUAAUCGUCCAAAGUUUGGGGGGGCAAAGUGGAAUUAACCCUUUAAAAAUUAUCCAAAUCUGUACAUUUUGUACUUACGGAGCCGGGAGUGAAGGACUCAACAUAGCUGCCUUCCAUCUUGCUCAUGCGGUUUCUCAUGUAAGGGUCACAAGACAAGUAGAGAUUUUUCACCACAAUCGCCCCCGAAGAACCUUCCUGAAGCUUCAGCUUCGUCUUGGCGGUUCUGAUUUCCAUAUCACUCUCCUUCGGAGAACCCCGGACGUAGUGCUUCAGUAUCACCUGCUUGUUCUCCACUUCCUCCCCUUCCGCCAUUUUUCCUCUCGAAAAGCUGCUCUCAACCGACACUGAUAAUAAUGCUGGAGAAGUCGUGCCGUGAAGGAGUAUAUAUGGUGUGUGUUGCCUGUGUGGAAAGUGCUAGUAGCGGCGGCGGAUCCGUAUUGUACAGAUUACGUGGAUAAGGGAGAGUGAUUGUGAAGAUGAUGACUGAAUGAUGACCAAAUGAUUGACGAGAGGCUUUUUUGUUGCUUGGAUAUACGAAAAAAAUGGAAAUAUUCUAGCACUUUUUCUUUGUGAUUUAAUGUACGCAAGAUAGGAAGGGAAUUACAAAAAUAAAAUAGUAGGAGUAUUAAAAAUAUGUUUAUGAAAUUUUUUUUCUUUUUAAAGAAGGAAUCACAAUCCAAACAAACACACAAAAAAACGUCUUUUAUGGCUAGUUUGCGAGAUUGGAAUGGAAAAGAAAACGUCGAAAAUGUUAAGUUAUGAAAAAGAAAAGAAAAGAAGAGAAUAAAAAGUUUGAUGUUGUUGGGAAUUUCGAGAAAAUAAAUGGAAGGAUUUUGGAUGCAUACAUUAUUAAAAUUUUAUUCAAGAUACAUCUAAAGAUAGAAAGUUGUAUUUUAAAAAAUCUCACAAAACUUUGUUCACUUUUCCUUUGUUUUCCGCCCAUAUUUGGAACUUGGAAGGAAUGACUCUUUUUUUUUUUUUUACACUAUAGUUGCAAAAUAGAUUCUCACCUAAUCUUUCAGUUGUUGUUCUUUUUUGUCCCUUACAUAGUCCCAAACAACAGAAACUGACUCCUCACUCUCAUUUUCUCUUUUUACGCUAUCAAAUCUCAGCUCUGAACAAACUAUUUCUGAAAAAAAAAAGUUCUAAACAAACUAUUUCUGAAAAAAAAGUUCUUGGUGUUUGGAAGGAAAUCUUUUAAAAUUCUAGGCAUUUGGAAAUGUUUAGGAAAACAUUUUUCUAAGGAAAUAUUAAUUUGUUCGUCAAUGAUUUGGAUAUUCAAGACUUCGUCAAUAAUUUAGAUAUUCAGAUUAAUUUUAUUUUCUUUCUUUAGUGUUAAGCCAUUUCAAGAAAAUCAUUGGGAUUGGAUUAGUGUUUACGAAGAGUCUUUAGUGUUUUUUUCACUGCUAAAUUCAAGGUUCGAAUACUGAACCUAACAAUUAAGAGUGGAAAGGAUGUGGAAAGGGGUGGAAGGUGUGUGUCUAUAAAUAUAUAUAUAGCGAUUUCAAGGAGCUCCACUAUCUCAAAAUUAAAUAACUGAAAGGAUACAUUGGGGACACAUCCAAAAUGUUACUUAUGUACACCCAAAAAAAAGGGUUAUUAUCAUUUUACCCCUUUAAACUAUAUCACUACUAUCAGUUUACCCCUUAACGUUAUCUUUUAGUCAUUUUACCCCCUUAAAUAAUUCAACUCAACAUGUUAAGAAAUUUUGGACAAAAAUACCCUUUUAUUUUAUAGCAUUACUACAUUGUUAUUGUCACUUUAUUCGUUUAGAUUAUAGUGAUACAAUCACUUUAAUUCCUAACAUUAUUUCCUAUGCAUUUUAUCUCAUCGUUAAUCUAACUAGUAUGGUCAAAAAAUUUUAAAUAUAUUUACCCUUUUUAUAUAUAAUUAAAGUAAAAAAGUUGGAAUGGUUAUUCUUCCUUUUUUUUUUCACUUUAAGAGAUCGAAAAACAUAAAAAUAAAAGGGUUUUUCAAAUUUCUUUUUUCACACUUAUCAAUAGUAGGAAAAGAAAAAGAGAUAGGAAAGAAGGAGACAACAAAAUUAGAUUUUGCAAAGAAAAAAAUAAAGAAAAGUCUAAUAUUAUCAUAUUACUGUAAGGUUAUCGGGAUUAGGAUUGGAAUUUGGUAGUAAAUAGAAAAGUGAAAUAAUUUUAAAAUAAUAAAGUAUUUAAUUCUUUCUUAUUUGUAAUUUUUAGAAAAAGAAUUGAGCUCUCUCUCUCCCACUCCCCCUCUCCAUCUUUCUAUUUUUUAUAUUAAUAAAUUGUCAAGAAGAAAUAAAUUAAUACUUUGACUUUUUUUUCUUGAUACUAAAAAGGAGAAGAACCACUCUAAAUUUUUUAUUAUUUUUAUUAUGCAAAGAGGAGGGUGUUUUCUUCUAAAGUUUUUUAACUUGCUAAGUUGGUUUAAUGGUAGAUAAAUUGGCUAAAAAAUAACUCUAGCGGGUAAAUUGAUAAUAAGAUUAUAGUUUAUGGGAGUAAAGUGAUAAUAAUUUUAAGGGUUAAACAUGUCUUUUCACUUUAAUUAACAAACUCUGUUAAGUUUGAUCGUUAGUCUUGGGGGUAAAAUGACUAAAAGAUAACAUUAUGGGGAAAAUUGAUAGUAGUACCAAACGUUAAGGGGGUAAAGUGAUAAUAACCCAAAAAAAAGAAAGAAAAACCGUUUAGAAAAUAUGUUGAUAUUUUGAUCCUAUGCGUGUAAGGUUUGUUAUUCUCUCCAUUUCAUCAAUGUCUAGCAAGGUGGUCAAAAAAAACAUCUAGCAAAACAAAACUCAAAAGAGUAUGCAGUAUGACAAAGGAACAUUUUUCUCGAUAAGCAGCUCUUCUUCAACCAAAUCUUCAAUAAAGAUUUUCGUCCACUAUUAGACAAGGGCAAAGAAAGCAAAAUUGACAGAGAUUUGAACAGCAUUCCCAUCAUCACGGGCAACAACUGCCAGCGGCCCCCCACUAUUGCAACAUGAGAAUAAAGGAGUAAACGAAUCGAGUUUAAUUGAUUAGUUUGCGAGUUUGCUCGAAUGAAACUCGAGUUUGAACUCAUGUUGAUCGAAUUCGAGUUCGAGUUUGAGUAGUUCAAACUAUUUGACGGGUCCAACUUGAGUUUAAUAUAUGAAACUCGAGCUCGUCAGGCUCAAUUGAGUUUCACAUAUUUAUGUUUUUGUUUUAAUUUUUUUAUUUAUUACUAUGAAAUGUCUAUUUUGUUUCUUAUUUAAAAUUAUAUGAAAUAUAAAUUUAUAUUUCUUAAGUUUGAUUAUACUCGAUUAAACUUGAUUGAGUUCGAAAUAAACUCGAUUAGACUUGAUAAGUACGAGCUCGAGUAAUGCAAAAUAAAAUCGAGUUCGAACUCAAGCUCGACUUUUAAGAGUUUAAUGAGUUUGAGCUCAAAUUCGAGUCCAAGUUAGGUUUGGAAUUUGAUGAUGAAAAUGUUUUUUCGGAGAGAAACUUUGCCAUCACAACUACAACAAAAAUGACCUUUAACGGCAUUUAAAAGUGUCAGUAUAUAUAAUCUAAGCUAACACUUUACCUUUCUUCACACCUCGGACAAGUGUUGUCCCUUUCAAUGUGGGGAUAGGUUCGUACUAUUCAACGGUGUCAGGAAAACUAUGCUAUUAUAGCAUUCCAUCUGCCAACAAAAAUUCAUUUUCUUAAUCAUUGAAAGUGUCAGGAUAUUGUUGAAGUUGUUGAGCUAUGUUGACACUUUUAACUGUCCGAAGUUUUUUUUUUUUUGUUUUUAAAUAAAGAAGUAACUUGAUUGUGCUCCCUGCUAUACAUUCCGUUAAUCAGAUACCCAAAGGACUUGUAAAAUUAUUUAAAAGCAAAUCCAGUGUUUUGAAAACCGGACCGGACCGGCCGGUUCGAUCGGUCGAAUCGCGAACCGGCCAUGGCACCAGUCCGGUUCCAUGCUUAGGUUGACUUUGCUAGAAAACUGGUCAAAUCCGGUAAAAACCGUUAAACCCGUUGAACCGUAUUGAACCGGUUUUCGAGUUUUCCCUCUUUUUUUUUUUUUUGCAAAAUGCUUCUAUCAAGAUUCGAACUCAAGACCUUUGCAAUAGAAGACCAGUGUAAUAACCAUUGCGCCAUCACAUCUUAUUUGCUUUUUUUGAUAAUUUAUUUAUAUAAAACAAACAUCUAUAUUUUAUUUUUCCAUUUUUCUUACAAAAUCUCAUUCUCUCAUGACUCUUUCUUUUUAAUUUUCAACUCUCUCUUUCUCUCUCAUCUUUUCUUUUGUCACUCCAUUUUUUUGUCAAACCUCUUUAGUUUUAAUUUAUUGAUGUUUUCUUCUAUCUUUUAAUUUUGUUUUUGUCCAUUAAAUUGAAAAAAGUUAAAAAAGAAUUAUUUUUCUUUAACCCAAAUUAUUUAAUGCCACAACCACUCACUUUUAUCCCAUUUUUUGUUUCUUAUCAAGUUUGCAUUUUUAUUUUCAAUUCUCUUGACUUCUUUCGAACUCCAAACUUUCUUUUUUAAAUUACAAUAUUUAAAUCUCAAAUAUGUAAAUUAAAAUUUAAGUUCAUAAUGUCAAAUUCUCAUAGACGUGAAUUUUGUAUAAUUUCAAAAUAUUGUGAUAUUUUUGGGUUGGAUUUGAGAUUUUUUUGGAUUUGAAAAAUAAUUUUGUAAAUACUGUAUAAUUCUCAUAAAGUUUUAAAUUAGUCUAUUGCAUGUCUUAUUUUGCGCAUAUAUAUUUAUAUAAAUUAUUUUUUAAAAAAAUCAUUGAACCGAGAUUGAACCGGUCCGACCGGUUGAAUCUCGACCCUUUCACCUCACCGGUUCAAUUGACGGUCCGGAUUUUAAAACAUUGAGCAAAUCAUGUAGUAAUUUAAAAGCAAAUCAAUGCUCAAAUAUCCUUCAACAACAAAAGUAACCAAGUGAAAGGGUUCAAAAGAACUGCAAGCUAACAUGAAAAUAGCAUUGCUAUCUAAUAAACAAAAGAGAAUCAGCACUAAGUCUAUAAGAAAUUGCAGUGAAUAAAGAGAAAGCCAAGUGAUUGGUGCUCCAAAUGCAUCUUGGAUUGUUUGCCACAAGUCAUACGGUCUAAUCAACCUGCUCAUUAGGUUCCAGCGUUACUUGUACAUUUAUCUCAUACCAAUUUGAUCCUAACACUUGUCCGCCAAUAUCAUCAGAUGGAUUCAGGCCUGAAACACUGGUAGAUGACGAUGAUGGAUACCUUAGGCUGUCUGCUGAAGUUUGACUCAAUUAUUGCGCUAAUUUCUUCAGAUCAGCAAUGUCUACAUCUUGUUGCUUCAAUUUAUCUUCCAUUAUUGAUAAUACUGCCUGCUGCUCAAUAUUUAUAUGAUGGCACAUACUACGACUUGGGAUAUCCCUCUACAAGUCAGUUGGAUUGAUACCUUCACUAAACAGCCGGAUGUGGCCAAGUUUGUUUUGUCCAAUGACUUUGAGCAAAUAUGUCAUUUCGGCCAACUGAGUCCUCAGUUUCUAGUGAAAGUUUAGCUUGUUUUUCUUUCAUUAUACUCUAAAAGAAAAGCAAAUAUAGUUAUUAUUAGUCUCAGCAUGACUUAAGUAACAUACAAACACUCUUAGUUCACUUAUCAAAUUCUCAACCACCACACUACUCGAUGGAGUCCCGUCAGCAUGGCUAUAAAAUUUAUCAAACCUAAUACAUGUUCAGGUCGAUCAUUUUACAAAAAAGAAAGGAAAAAUAAUAUCACCCUUAGUUCCAUAUCAAACCUAAAACGUCUUUUCACUAAUAAGUUUCAGAUUAAUGAGGUAGUAAUUAGUAAUUGGUAAUUUUGGGAUCUAGAUAUGAAUUAUAACAUGUAACACUUGGUUCUAAGAUAGAAAAUUCUGAGCUAAGACUAACUUUUCUUUUUUCGGUUCAGCGCUUAGAUAAACUUCUGAGAUUCUAUCAACAACAGCUAUUCCAAGCAAUGCAAGCUUUUUAUUUUAUGAAUCCUGAUGCCUGCUAUGAUUCUACAUUUUUUCAAGCUUCAUUCUGGUGGCCUAAAAUCUAGUACUUCCCUUCAAGAGAUCACCUCAUUUAGAAUGCAAAUUGACAACGUUGACAAUAGUCAGUCCAGAUGUUCUAAAAAUCAGACAUACGAUCAUUAUAUAACUCAGAUGGCUGCAUAAAAGGUUUAAGAAAUGUGGUAUAGAAUUAUUCCUCAUAGUACAAUCAAUUAGAUAGCUGAAUCCGAACUACGUGAACCACCUCUACAAUUAAGGUCAUUAGAGCAGCUAAAGGAAAGAUACAUACAGAGAAAAAAGAGGGGAGUGGUGAAGAGAUGGACGAAAUUAAGCCAGCCGCAGCCAAUAACAUCACUCAGAGAGGUCAAUAAAACAUCCUUGUUUCGAGGUCAUGAGUCACAGUAUAUAUUUCGAACAUCUACUCAUCUAGCACCCACCUUUAUCCCAGCCAAAGUCUCUGUUUCUUUCUUGCACACUUGCAAAAUUCUAACUACAAUGUAUUUCCGCUACCCAUUUAGAGUCAAUUUUCCCUUCACAAUAAAAAAUGUAAACUAGCAAUCCAUAGUUUGUUUGAUGUUUAUAUGACAUACAGCUAUGCUAUGACUAAUUAUAAGCCGAGCAUUCGAUUCAUAAUUAGACCGUAGCAUAUACCAAGAAUAAACGUAAUUGAGAACAAAUUUCCCAGGAUACUAACUUUGCAGCUAAAUGGAAACCUGACAUAUCUAAGAUAAAUGUUAUGUUUAAUUCCUCAUCUCCCACACCGCCCACCCCCAGAUCCCAAAUUUAUAACAGACAUUGGGCUAACGAAUUUUGCCAAACUUCCAAUGCAUAUACUACAAAAUACUUAUAUAAAUCCAGUAAUCAAAUUCAUAAAGAAAGUUAAAACGCUGUCAAGCAAGAUUUGAACUUCACAUUGCUUUAAUUAAACUAAAACGUCCGAAGACUAUCAAUUUACUUCACAAAACACCAAAUUGGAAAAAAGGAAAAAAAAAACCCUAAUUAACCCAGAAAAGCUAUAAAGCUGAGAGGGCGGGUAACAACAGAAACAUUACCAUUUGAACAUAAGGGUUGUCGCCGAGGCAAGACUCGCAUAUGAUAGGGAAGUCGGAUCGUUUCCCAUCCGUCAGCUUCAGCGUCUCUCAAUAGUCUGUGCACCAUUUUAUCAGAAUUUCACUCUGCAAAAAAGGUUGAAAUUCAUAAGUAACCAAAGAAACAUAAACAGACGACCCAAAUGCCACCUAGAUCUGCACCUCACCAAAGGUUUGCAUUCUACUUGACAUUUUAUCGAACAAGUUAUGGACAACAAAUCCAUAACAAAAUAGUCACAUUCUACAAGUAUGUAUUACCUCCUUUUUGACAGACUCUUCCUUCUCGGAUAAAAUCAACUCAAUAUGGCAGGGGAAAGACAUGUAGGCUAGCCAAAAAGAUCAUAUAUUGAAGUUAAUAGACAUAAUGGACAGAAUAGAAAACUCAAAAAAAAGUCAUCUGUCGGACAUACGGUUUAUUCUUCCAUGGGCACGAUACGUGCGACGUCUUUGUUUAUGUGCUUGAUUCACUUGAAUGUGAGAAAUGAAAAGUGAAUCCACAUCCAAGCCUUUCACCUACAUAGACAAACCUCUGCAUUGCUUUCAUCAUUCUUGAGCAAAUUCAAAAUGAAGCUAGCAGAUUUAACAGGCCAGCAACCCUGUCCAUUUGAAUGCCUAUUCUUAGCCUAAGCAGUACGCCCGACACCUCCACAGAGAGAGGGGGAGGGAGGGCUGGAAAUGGUGGAGUUGGAAAAUGAAAAUUUUGGGUAAGUGUUUUGACUAAGUGUUUUGGCCGGUAGAAUGAAAAUUUUGAGUGUUUUAGAGCAAAAGAAUCUUCCGCCAAAAUCAAACGGUGUCGUUUUGUGUCUUUCUUUUUUUUUUUGGUACAUCUCACAUUUUCUCAAGUGUCAUGUUAGGUAGUCUAAAGGCACAUUAUUUUUUUAUAUCUGAUAAAAUAAAAAAAAUUAGAGUAUAUAUUAUUGAAUUGCUAAUAAGUGUCAUGAUAGGAGUGCUAUAAUGAUACAAACCAGCAAAUGCCCUUAUAGGCAUGUUAGGAUAGACCAUUUUUGUUGUAGUGAGAUGCGCUCUGCUGCCACUGGAGCCCACCACCAUUGAAGUCCAUUGUGAUUAGCAUUGUCCCUUGGGACUCAGUUUUUUGAAACCAUGGAAGUUCAAAAUAGCCAAAAUCCUAAUGACGAUUCGGGAGCAAAGCAAGAUGAAGAUAUCCUGAGAAAAGGCAAGAAAAAGUUCAAACGAAGAUCAACUGGAGAAAUAGUGGAGAAUAUUCACCUUGGCGUCAACAAGGAUGCAAGGCUCAAUGGAUGAAAUUUGCGAAACCCACAAUCGGGAGCAGGAGCCUAGGGGAAGAGAUCCUUUCUCGACCCGCUUAAAGAAGUGAAGUAGCCAGGGAAGUUCUACGAUGGGGUAGGGAAGGAAAUGGAUUUGGAUGAAGAUCCUCUCUUUUCAGAGUCAGAUUUGACCAAGGAGGCCGAGAUUCGUGAGUCAAAAUUGCCAAGGGUGGACUCAGAGCAAGAUGAAAUCAAGAAAUUCUGGCGUCCUUGGAGGAGAAGCCUCGUGAUUAAAGUAUUGGGAAAGAAGGUGGUGUACAAAGCUCUGAAAAAUCGUUUAAGAGACUCCUGGGCGCUGCGAGCGGAUUUCGAACUAUUGGAUUUAGAAAACGGAUUUUUCCUCUCGUGAUUCCGGACUAAAGAGGAUUAUCAAAAUGUACUAAAAGAGGGGCCAUGGACAAUUCAAGGGCACUAUAUUACCAUCAGUAAAUGGAAGCCUGCGAGCGCAGACAUUAAAACUACAUCAGUAUGGGCUAGGUUGCCGGGUCUACCAGUAGAAUAUUACGAUGAGGGGUUCUUGAUGAGGAUUGGCAAUGCACUUGGUAAAGCUCUGAAGGUUGACUACCAGACCCUAUCUGCUACCAAAGGUAAAUAUGCACGCUUAUGUGUGGAGGUGGAUUUGAAGAAGCCUUUGGUGCCAUUCGUUUGGGUGGACAGAGAGCUGCAAGUAGUAGAAUAUGAGGGCCUGGAGGCGAUAUGUUUUGAGUGCGGGUAGUAUGGGCUAAUACUCGAGCUCGACUCGACUCAUAUGUGCCUAGCCUCGAACUUGGGUCGAGCUUGACCGAGUUCAAAAAAUCGUAACUCGAGGCUUGAUUCGAGGAAUUUAAUUUAAACUCGAGACUCGACUCGAUAAGACUCGACUUUUAGUCAAACUUUAUCAAGUCGAGUCUAAUCAAGCUUUUUGGCUCGACUCGAAAAAGUUUCUAUUGUAAAUUCAGUAUAAAUUAUACCCAAAAUGGUCAUUUUAUAAUUAUAAUACAUAUAUAUUAUUUAAAUUAUAUAUAUUAUUUAAAUACGCCCCGACUCGACGAGUAGUUCGACGAGCUUCAAGUCUCAAAUUAUUGGCUCGAAACUCGACUCAAAUACCAAUCGAGUAGCUCGAGACUCGGCUCGAACUCGGUCAAAUCGAGUUCAAGUCAAGCCAUUGAUCGAGCUACUCGCAAGCUACUCGUGAGUAGCUCGGCACGCAUACAUCCUUAGUGUGGGCAUAUUGCUUUAAAUAGCUGGAAUGGGUCCGAAGUGCCAGCAGCAGCUGCAGGGGAUGAGAGACAGGUUAAAUACAGAAAACAGGAGAAAGCUGAGAGCAACCUCUUUGGGCCUUGGAUGGUGAUAAGCAAAAGGAGAUCGAGCGCAACAAGUAAGGCCAAGAUGGGAGUCACUCAGUAGGAGCUUAAGGACAAGCGCCAGCAAGACAUAAAUUUACCGAGCGGCAGUAUCACAGAGCCAAAUGAAAAAAGGGGAAGCCAGGUCGAGGGCAUAGACUCGAAUGGACCUGCAUGGGGCAAGGUGAAGGAAUGUAAUGGCUCGAGAUUCGAAAUUUUAAGUGAGACUGGAGAUGAUGGACCAGUCCUGAGAGAGAGGGACUCUAAGGAAGCUCUCAUGGACAAAAUCAAUGCAAUAUCCAGUCCAUCCCAUGGUUUGGUGUUCAAGAGUCCUGAGAGGGCAUUUGGACAAACUAAGGGAAAGGAGAAUCAGAGUUCUAGUUGCAGGAAGCUAGAGCAAAAAAGGAGCCUUAAGACAGUAACAGUUAAUUUGCCAAGGCAGAGCCAAUCUUUAGGUGGGCAAAGAGUUUCAAUUCCGUAAAAGGAUGUGAAAAUAAGAGAAGGAGAAGCGAAAAUGGGGGAGUGUUCAAGACAAGUGGAGAAGCCACACCGAGACAUUAUUUUGUGAGAUGCAGUGGGUGCAGAAACUACAAUAGAUCAGUCAUUAGAUAGGGCAAAGGGGGGUGGAGAAGCAACUGAUAUGGAUCCCGGUGACCCACCAAUGGCCACCAAGAGAAAGGGAUGUUGGAUCUGAGAGAAACAAUUAGCAUUCCGAACCAGCCACAGGUUGAGGGAAUCAACCUAAGGGACGACAAUCUAAUUUUCCUGUGGAGGGGGAUAGGAAUGGGAGCAGCUACUGAAGCCAAGGAAGGGAGAUGCCCUGAGCCAUACCAUACUUGAAUCUAUAGUCAAGAUGAAGAUUAUUAGUUGGAAUUGCCGUGGGGCAGCUAACCAGAGAUUUUGGCGAAAUAUUAGGGAAAUAUAGAAUCAGCAUAGACCAGACAUCCUGAUAUUAAUGGAAACGAAAGUAGCGAGUGAUAAUGCAACGAGAAUUAUGAGUUGUUUCCACUAUGAUAGCAAGAUGUGUGUAGAGGCAGCCGGAUUCUCUGGAGGCAUUUGGAUGUUCUAGAACAGCUUAGAGCUGGGGAUUGAAGUAAUAGGUACAAAUUAGCAAUUCAUUCAUGCGAUAAUCCGGGAUAACUAGCAACGGGAGUGGCUACUAUCUGCAAUUUAUGCAUCACCCGACAGGGGUUUGCGUCGAGAGUUAUGACAAUAUCUUAAAUUGGUAGGAUCCCAUAUAAACUAUCCCUGGUUGAUUAUUGGGGAUCUCAAUGAGAUAGUAGAAGCUGAUGAAAAAAGGGCGGACAAGUUUUUAGGAGAGUCAGUGAAAACAACCUCUGGGAUUGCAUUCAUAGCUGUGAGUUAAUUGAUUUGGGGUUUAAUGGUCUAGCCUUGACAUGGAACAACCUUCGGAAAGGAGAAGCAUGAGUUAGGAAACGUCUAGAUAGGGCACUAUGUAAUGAGGAGUAGAGACUUCAUUUUCCAGAAGCGGCAGUUACAUAUCUGGCCCGAGCACACUCGGAUCAUCACCCCUUAUUGCUGGAGGAUGCUGUCGGAGGUAGGAAGCCAGCAGGCCUUAAGCCUUUUAGAUUCGAGUUGGCUUGGACGACCCAUCCAGGGUUUAUGGAAGAAAUAGAGAGAUGCUGCGGGACGGAGGACGAUUUACUACAGAAUUUGGUGAAACUCUCAGAGAGAUUUCAAAUAUGGAACACCGAGGUCUUUGGGAACAUUUUCCAUAGGAAGAGAAGAUGCUUAGCAAGGUUAAAUGGCAUACAGAAGGCGCUUUCCCAGAAAGAAUCGAAGUCUUUGGAAAAGUUAGAGGAAAAAUUAAUUUCAAAGUAUAAUGAAAUUUUAGAAUAGGAGGAGGUGUUCUAGUAUCAGAAAUCAAAGGUGCAAUGGUUAAGGUGUGGAGACAGGAAUACCAGAUUCUUCUACCUCUCUACAAUCAUAAAACAAAAACGCAAUGAAAUACUGAGUCUCAAGGAUAAGGAGGGCUGGUGGCAAACAGAUAGGGAAUUGGUAAGAGACAUUGUGGUAGAUUUUUUCAAAAAUCUAUAUAGUAGUGAGAAUGUUUAGCCUUUGAAUAGAGGAGGUGCUAAUAGUUUCAAGGGUCUAACUAAGAGGCAGAAAAACUUUUUAACACAUGGGGUUAGUGAAAUGGAAGUCAAGAAGGCACUGUUUGAUAUGGGAAGCAAUAAAACACUUGGACUGGAUGGAGUGUGUGCGAGCUUCUAUCGGAGAUGUUGGUAAAAAAUAUGACGCUUACUAGUCAAAUGGGUGUAGGACGUCUUCAGGAGGAAGGAGCUACUGCCUGGAGUGAAUAGCACGCUGAUAUCCCUUAUACCAAAAAUGAAGAGUCUGGAAGUUGUGGCACAUUUGAGACCGAUUUCUUUAUGUAAUAUGAAUUACAAGGUAGUGACCAAAGUAAUUGUCAACAGAUUGAGGCCUUUGCUAAAUGAGUUGGUAGGUCCAGAACAGGCAAGCUUUAUUUCUUGGAGGCAAUCGUGUGAUAAUGUGAUAAUUAUCCAAGAACUAUUACAUAUAAUGAGGAAGAUGAAAGGUAAAAACGGUGCAAUGAUAAUUAAGAUAGAUUUGGAAAAAGCUUACGAUAGAGUAAUGUGAGAUUUUUUACAUCAGACCCUGGAAUGGGCUAGUAUACCUCACGAGCUAAUCAAGCUGAUUAUGAAUUGUGUACAAGUGGAGGCAACUGCAAUUCUAUGGAAUGGGGAAAAAUCAAAGAGUUUUGUUCCGUCUAAGGGCUUGAGGCAAGGGGACCCCCUUUCACCGUAUCUUUUUGUAUUUUGCAUGGAGUGUCUAAGUCAUUUAAUAUUGCAGGCCACGAAAGGAAAACAGUGGAGAGGAGUGAAGACAUCAAGAGUUGGACCGAGGAUAACUCACAUAAUGUUUGCGGAUGACUUAUUGUUGUGUGCAGAAGCCACGCCUUUACAAGGUCAAAUAGUUCGUAGCAUCAUGGUAGAAUUUUGUGGUAUCUCAGGGCAGAAAAUCAACAUGGAUAAAUCCAAGUUCUUCUACUCGCAGAAUGUAAAAAGCACAGUAGUCAAGGAGAUAAGUAAGAUUAUAGGGAUAAAUGAGACAAAGAAUCUUGGAAAGUACCUAGGAGUUCCACUUUUUCACUCGAGAGUUACUAAAGGCAUGUUUCAACCUUUGUUGGACCGUGUCAGAAUGAAGCUAGCCGGUUGGAAAAACCCUAUCAUUUGCGGGGAAAGCCGCCUUAGUUAAGUCAGUCCUGUCUGCUAUACCAAUGUACCACAUGCAGAUAGCAUUAAUCCUGGUGACGGUACUGGAUGAGUUGGAGAAGUAUGCUAGAGGCUUCCUUUGGGAGGAUAAUAAGAAGAUCAAGAGGAUUCACCAUAUCAACUGGGAGACAGUGACUCAAUUAAAAAAGAGGGGAGGUUUAGGGAUUAGAAGAAUAAGGAAAGUGAAUGUGGCAAUGCUUGCUACACGGAGCUGGAGGCUGUUUAAGGAUGAGCAGGCUUUGUGGGAGAAAGUGGUUAAGGAAAGUAUGGCAAGGUAUAACAUGAAUCAAGUGUUCAUCUAGGGUUGGGGAUUCCCAUGUAUGGAAGAGCAUUGCAAAGGGCAGCGAAUUACUUAAGAAGUGAGUGCAGUGGAAGAUUAGGAAUGGAGAGACAAUACGAUUUUGGAGGGAUAAGUGGUUAGAGGAUGAACCACUACUGGAUGAGAUAGAGGGGGAAAUACCAGAGGAAGAAAUGGAGAAAAAGGUAGAGGACUACUGAAACAGUAAUGGCUGGAAUCUUGAUAAACUUCGAUCUUGGCUAAAACCAGAGCAGAUAGAAGCUUAUAGGCGUUUAUAUCCUCCCUGGUGCAGACAACCCAGACCGACUUUGUUGGAAACUCGAGCCAAAGGGGGUAUUCAUCACCAGGUCGGCAUAUGAAUUGGAUUGGUUAGAGGGGGAAUUGCAGGAGGAGUCGGCAAGCUGGGAGAAGAUAUGGAAAACACAAGGUCCAGGACGAUGGUAGUUUCUACUCUGGUUAGUGAGGCAUGGUAAACUAUUAAAGCCAGAGGAAAAGACUAAAAGGAAACUGAGCCCGACUUACUGUCCAACAUGUGCAACUGCGGUUGAAUCAACCAUCCAUGCUGUCCGCGACUGUGGAUGGAUAAAGAGCAUAUGGAAAUAGUUUGUCAGGCAAAAUAGAUGGGAGGAGUUUUUGAACAAACCAAUGCAGGGUUGGGUGGACUGGAAUCUAAAGGAUGGAAGGAUUGGAAGGGAAGGGAAGGGAAAGAGGAAUGGCAGCUGACAUUCUAACAGAUUAUGUAUCUUGCAUGGUCAGCCAGAAAUUCCUUUUGUGCCACAGGAGAUAAGCAAAAAUUGGAUAUCAAGAAAGAAGAGAUUUGCUGACGCAUAGGUCAAGCCAAAGAAGCGAUACUUAGGAGGGAUGAUCUAGGGAGAAAAGAAGUAAAGUUUUUCAUAUGGGAAAAGCCUCCAGAUGGUUGGUGCAUGAUGAAUGUGGAUGGAGCUGCAAACCAUACCUCUGGAAGGGCAGGAGCUGGAGGUAUUCUCAGAGAUAGUUAGGGGAGAUGGAAAGCUGGUUUUACAAUGAGUCUCGGGCUAACUGAUAAUAUGACAGCAGAACUAUGGGCAAUACUUAAAGGGUUAGAAAUGGCUUGGAACUCUGGGGAACAAAGGGCUUGUUUGGAACCUCAAGUUUUUUACAAGUUUGUUUGCUACUAGUUUUUUAACAACUUUUGCUACAGGAAUCUCAAAAAACUUAUCAAAAUUUUUAACCUACACACUUCAAAUCUAAUACACAAAAAACUUUCCCUUCAACUUUUUUCUUUUUCCUCCCCCACCCAACCCAACAGUGUCCUCCGUCGCCGGCCACCACCUCCACCACCACUUCCGGCGCCGGUCACUAUUCCGGCCACAAGUGCCGGCCUUCCUCUUUUUUUUUUUUUUCUCUCCCUCUCCUCUUCCCCUUGCGCGACCGAUCUGUUGGUGCUUGGUGUUUCUUUUUUUUUUCUUUCUCCCUCCCUCCUCUCCUCUUCCCCUCUGUCUUCCCCGCCGCCUUCCCCCUCCCACUUUCCUUUUCUAUUUGUGUAUUCGCCCCUCUCACUUGCCUCCCUUUUAUGCGCCAAGCGCUUUAAAAAUAACAUCAGAGAGCAAAUUGCAAAUCAUCCCAAACAAUGGGCCUGCUAGGGGAGGGGAGAGGGCAGCGGGGAAGGGGAGGAGAACGGGAGGGAAAAAGCAAAAAAAAUUCCAUGGCUGCAGAGAGGGAGAUGGAGGAGAAGACAGAGGUGCAGGGGAGGGGAAGGGAAAGAUACCGGGGGAGAGAAAAAGAGGGGCAGAGAGGGAGAGGGAGGAGAGGGCACAGGUGCCGGGGGAGAGAGAAGGGAGAGGUGCCGGGGGAGAGAAUCUGGGGCAGAGGUGCUGGUUCUUCAAAGCAGGGGGCAGAGGUCGCGGGGAAGGGGGAAGGGAGAAGAAGAAGAGGAGGAGAGGAAAGAAAAGAGAAAGGAAAGAAAGAAAAAGAAAAAGAAAGAAAAGGAAAAAAAAUGGUGACCAUCUGCUGGUUCUUCAACGGCGGGACAGAGGUGACGGGGAAGGGAAGGAGGAGGGAAAGGAAGAAAAAGGAAAACAAGAGAGGAAAGAAAAAGAAAAAGAAAAAAUUUCAUCUUAAAAAAUUUUUCUAAAAACUUCUAGUGUACUACAGUAAAGUUUUAGACAAACUAUCAAAAAACUCAGGUUCCAAACAGGCCCAAAGACUGAUUUUGGAAACUGAUUCAAAGGCAGCUUUGGAUAUAAUACAAGGAGCAGGUUCGGAAUCACCAUUAUCCAAUCUGAUACUUCUCAUCAGGAGCUACACACGUAGGGAUUGGGAAUGUAGACUACAACAUGUUUGGAGAGAAGGGAACAGGUGCGCAGACUGGCUAGAUAAAAGGAGUGUUAACAGAGAAUAAGGGAUGCAGAUUCUAACUGAACCUCAACAGGAAUUGCGGGAUUUGAUUGAAGCAGAUAUUUUGGGGGCCGCGACCUCGCGUUUUUUCCCUGCUUAAGAGGGUCGUCCUCUCCCAUGUGAACAAAAAAAAUAAAAAAGUUUGAGUCCAAGUUUUUUAACUCGAAUCAAGUUCGAGUAGUGCACUACUCAAGUUCGAUUCGAUUCGAUUACAACCUCAUCUAAGAAGAGUCCUAUCAAGGCCCUUGGGGCAUUCUCAAGGCCUUCAUCUAUGUCUUCAACGUAUGCCAUCUUCCUUUCUUUCAUCAGUGAAAGUAUCAUUUUCAGGAACCUAGGAUAGAGAUGAUAGCAAUCCAAGACAACAAAUCCUUCCAUAUGUAGGCAGAAGAGGUUGUGGACACCUUCAUGCUGAUCAAGGUUAUAUUGUGAGAUCAAUCCAUACACAACAGUGCGGCCUUGGAAUCUCAUGUUGAAAAGCACAACAUCAAAUCAAGCAUCUAUCGUCCGACAUACUCGAAGCAAAUGUCAAUGCCAACCGGAAAGUACCUAAAGAAAAGAAGACAGAAAGUCAAGAGUGUGGAUCUGCUUUGAGCAGUGCCAAUGGGAAUGUGAUAUAGGAGAAUGAAAUACAUGACAUGCAAGAAAAGAAGAUGCCCUUGCAGAGUGAAACCUACGUCAUAUUUAAACAAGAAACUAAUUAAAUAAAAGCCUACCAAGUUUCAAAGGAUGAAUUCAAUCUUGAUGAUCUUCAAAGUUGAUUUGAGCUGAAAGAUACUGCUCAGUGAUGCAUCGACAUGAUCUAUUUGAGUAGAAGUCCUGAUCAUCAUGAAAAAUGCUGUUUUAACGGGCAAUGGUUCCAUAGAAGAAGUAAAUUUUAAGGGCUUUGUCCUGAAUCUUUAUUUUUUCCAACUACCAUGCAAAGCUGAAGCUGACCCUUUCAGGGCCGCGUUUACAUCUGCCUCUUCUUUAUAAUUGAAAGCUUCAUCAAAUCCGAACUUGGUCUUCAGCAAAUCAACCUUCAAAACAAAAACAAGAGUCAGUAGAAGCCAAUAUAUAUAUGUGUGUAUAUAUAUAUAUAUAUUAAUCAUGCCAAAUCCCCGACUUAGGUCAUUAGGUACAUUAGGCAGCUUAGAAAAACUGAGGGUACAACAUUAUAUGAACUGUAAACCUAACAUUGGAAAAGGAAAGAAUUAAGUGGAAGAGGGGAAGGGGGGCCUUCGUGGCUUUUUUUUUUGAAAAAUUUUUGACCAAAAUCUAGAUAUUUGUCAUGUUUUUAGUGGGGAAAAAAGAAACCAAUGACGCUAGGCAUUUGGAGGUAUUCAAGGAAAAUUUUUGCCAAAUUUCUUUUCCUUGUUAAUUUGUCAAUCAAUAAUUUGGUGAUUUUUUUUGAAAAAAAUAGAAUCAUAAACACAUUUUUUUAAUCAUCUUUCUAUUAGGUUCAUUUUUUUUGUCUCAGAUAUAUUUCAUCACAGAAAAUAUUAUAGUUUUUUUAAAUUUUUUCACAAAUAAUCUUCAACACGAACACACCCAAAUCUUUUUAUUCUUUUAAUUGCUCCUAUUUUUUUUUUGUGUCUUGAAAAUGUCUGUAAUCAUUUGAAAGAUAAGUACAAAGAAAUAAAAUUAGCAAAAUGAACCAUAUAUCUUACAUUGCAUACUAUUUUUAGAUACAAUGAUCUAAGAAAUAAAUCAUAUUAAGAAAAACAAUGUCACAUCAAAAAUCCGAAAGUGCAAAUCAAACCAAACAUUUGAAGAGCUUAAGGUAUUUAACUCAAAAUUUAUUGCGUGACACAUGUUUAUUUUGUAGAAAAUUGCACUUAAGGUGCGUUUGGUACCCCAUAGAAUUGGGGUUUAGAAUUAGAAUUAGAACCCUAAUUCUAAUUCUUAUGUUGGAUGCUGCCUUUUCCAUAGAUUAGCAUUGAAUUCUAAUUUCAAGAGGUUCCAAUUUCAUGAAUUGAAUUCUUUAUCAGACCAAAAGAAUUCUGAUUCCAAUUCCACGUCUAAACCCUAAAAAACGGGUCUACACGCGGAUCCAAUAUGGGUAAAAAAUAAAAAUCGGGUCAAGUUUAUUCGCGUCCCUCUUUCUAUCUAAUUCAUCGCUUUUGCUCGGCUCAAUGGCUUUUGCUCUCCACUACCAUUUCCAUCUCAACUUCAACAUUUUGCCUCUCGCACCACCAUCACCCCCAUUGCCCUUCGCUCCUCUGACCAUCCCUCUACCCUUCACCACUCCUGCCACCCCUCCGAGUGCUCUCUUCUUUGGAGAUUCGUAUAUUCCGGGGAGGUGAAAGCGAAUUCAACCGCUUUUCUCCGCUUGAGCUCGAAAUUUGUGAUGGAAUUAUGGUCGAACUUGACUAUGAUACUGGUAAAUUGGCCACCAAAUUUGUUCAAAGACGGAGACUUUAUUGUCAUGCGUGGAUAAAGUUGGUUUCAGUUUCCUUUUCUCUUCUUCUUUUUUCUUUUUUCCCCACUUGUUAUUUUUACUAUCAUCGUGUCUAUAUUUCGUGUUUUACUUUGUCUAGAUACUGGAUUCCUGAUUUCGGAAUUAAAGAGAGGAUUGAUCAUAUCCUUUUAGCUCUGGUAAGAAUUUCUUCUUUUUCUCCAUUAGUUCAUUUUUUGUAUUAUUUUAAUUUGACUGAUUCCUUGUUACUUGGUUAAUGGGGUUAAUUUACUUGAUUUCGGUUCCUUGUAUCUCUAUUUCUUGAUUUCUCUUUGAUUUGAUCAAUGAGCUCAUGAUAAAUCUUUUCUGCAAUCAAGGUAAUGAAUAGUUUUUGAUGUUAGAAUCAUAUGUUUAUGGAUGAGUUCUUUAUCUCAGUGCUCCGCAAUUUACUUAGUUUCUGGAAAGUUGGUUGUGGAAUUAUGAUGUGUAGUUGAUUGUGGAAGAUGAAUUCUAUUAACUGAUGACCGCUGUUUUAUUACUUCCUUAACUUGGAUUUGCUCCUGGAUGAUUAUUCUUUUUGGUGAUUUUAGUACAAUUGCUUAAGUUUGCAGGUGGCUGUUAAGCGUGUCCUUGUUCUGAAUACUGUGAGAUCCAGGCUGCCUUUCGUAGUUACUACUACAGAUGAUGCCAAAGAUUCUGUAAAGGAGGAAAUUCGCCUGUGGUAAAAAAUUUCUGAAAAUUUUUGACCAUGGGCUUAUGUUUUGCUUAUCUCUGCAGAUUGCUGUUAGUUAUCUUGAUAAUUGAUAUUUUAACCUCUCUGGUCAAGUUGUGCAUUUCUUAAUGAUUGAAGGUCUGCUUUUGUUUCUGCUUCCUCUCACUAAUUUGUGGUGCUGUGACUGGAGUGGGUUUGAGUUCAAUUAUUUAAAUCAAAAGCUUGUGGUAUGCUAUAUAAUUUUCUUCAAAUUGCAUAAGUUAACUACUUGAGAUAAUUGAUGUUACUCUUUUCUUUUCACCCCUCUUUUUUGACGUUGAAGUCCAAUUAACUAUAGAAUGAGAAGAUGAAUUUGACCAUGAAGUUCAGUCGCUGAACCAUAUAUUCAAAUCCAGCUGAAAAUUUGUGUAUAGCCUCAGUAAAUGUCAUCACAAGUUCUGGUGUGAACCCUUGAUGGAAAUCAAGUUAACCUGGUUUCAACUGAUGUUCCUUAUUUUCUUUUCGUGCAGGAUGAGUCUCAGGACCAUAUAAAGAGGUAGCAGCUUCAUGAACUAGCCAUGCUGAACUCAAAUUUUAGAGAAGAGAGUCCAGGACCAAGUGGCAGCGUGUCACCAUUCAAUACUAGUGGAAUGAAACGUCCCAAAACUGGGCGUUGA